rnacentral:lncRNA from 1 species
AAGAAAUUACAGAAGAUUGCUAAUAAAUUACGAGAAAAGGGGCACUAAGACGAACUCUGCGACGCCAGUAUACUGCUCUCUUUGCACCGUGAAAAUCCCGUGCUUAGGGUGGAACACAAUCCAUCUAGUGGGAGUAAACCCCAGGAGCACCACACACUGCCCAAUCCAGUACAUGUUAUACGUGCUACAAUACCACGCCUUGCCGCCACCGUCAUCCACAAAGGCAUCAUCUUUUUCAAGCUGCUCGCAUCUCAAGCUCGUUACCACUGGGUGUCGACUCAAGAGCUCCAACACCACCUCCUCGCUGGGUCGAGUAAUCACACCCACCCUCCUCAAACUAUUACCUAGAACAUAAACUUGGAAUAAAUUCUUGUCCUGCUGCUUAUGCCUGAAAAGCUCCAGUGCCUUCUGGAUCAAGGACAAGGCUGGCUGUUGGCGUUCCUGGAGAGAAAACUGGUGUGCUGUGCCAAGCUUGGUCAUGGCCUGGGAGCAAUGGUUUAACGCUUGCUCCCAGCAACCAGAGCACCGUUUCGCUUCUUUGUUUACUGUGGCUAUGGGCAUACCUUGCUCAUCGAAGUCAAACAGAGGCUGGAGAUCACCGCCUCGAGGCGGAUUAGUGCUUUUCAACUCGCUACCUGGAAAAAGACCGCUCCAGUCGACUGUCGCUUCCUUGGGAGAUUUUCCUGGUACAAAAGGCUCAACCUGGUAUACCCUCUGAGCCCUAGACGCAAGAUCUCUGAGGCAACACCAGCGCGAAGCGUGGAUCACAACAUCCGGCUCCUCCACUACCAUCUUUUUAGGGCAACCCUUCAACUUUAAGCCUAGCAUGAUAGUCAAGCAUUAAGUAUGCUUUUAUUUACCAAAAGAGCUAAAAAAGAAUAUAUUGAGCAGGAUAAGAUGAAUUUGCCAAUGCAAUCACAAAACCUUGUGCUGUAAACUCGUUCCUCCCUUACAAGUGCUUGAUCGGCUGCCUUAGCUUCCACAAACGCAACAGCAUCUUAAGAAAGAAACCGAUGAAACUAGUGACAUACCUUUCUGAUUAGAAUCGGGAAUGAGCACCUGUCUUCCCAUCCGCCCCAUACAGCCAGUACUCGAACGAGCCUUCCACAAAGUUGUAGUAGCCACCAUGGAGCGUGAGGUUGCCAUUCAUGACUGCGUCGUGCACGAAGGGAAAAGCCAAGAGGUUUGACAGCGAUAAGUUGAUAGACUCCUGGCACGAAAUCGUCAGACGAACGGGGAAAGAGCAGCGCUCGCAGAGCAAACCUUUUCGCACAUUGUGCACUGCUGUUCCAGGUCCUGGUCAGCUGCUGCCUUGAGAGCCGCGGUACGAGCCGCAAGCCCAAUCUGGAUCCAGUCUUCAACAAAAACACUGGCUAAAAAAUCACGUCAGUUGUGCCAGAAACUAGAAGAAAUACGCAAAGCGAGAGCGUAAAAGUACCUCCGUUUCACAUUUUCCUUCUGUGUCAUGAGAGCAAGGAUGCCACCACACCUGCUGUGCCCGAUCACCAUUAUACUCUCCACCUAUGGACGGUUUGCAAAGCUUGUAUUUGCCGGAAAAUGGUUACCUUGAGAACCAUGACGGCGUAUUCAAUAGCUGCACUAGUGCCGGGAUAGAUCAUAGCCUGCCCGGAUUUUCACAACCAUGCUUUGGAAUCCAAACCACAGAGUACCUGCUCUGGUGGAGGAACCAUGUUAGCAAUGUUGCGGACGACAAAUGCUUCGCCUGGCCGGAAUCCAAGAACUGUCGUGGGGCAUACUCUCGAGUCCGAGCAGGCAAUGACCAUGAACUGCACAAAAAAUAUAAAGAGAUGAGCCGUUUCGAGCGUUCACGGCGCUUACCUUUGGAGUCUGCUUCACCGCUACUUCGCGAAACAGCUUUGGUUGCCUCCUGUCCACAGCACAAAUUCGGAAGUUGGCAUUGAAACCGUCCAGGGAUUCAGAUUUGUGUGGCGUACAAAAAAGUCUCCUGCUUGAAUUUUUCAAAGCCGUGCUGGAUUCUCUGCUUCACUCUCUCCGUUGGGGUGAAUGUAUUCUGCGCGAUCACCAAAAAAUCAUAAAAAAACCAAGAAGGACAAGAGUAAACUUACUUGGUAUGCUUGGCAGAGGCUCGUGUGUCUCCCCGCCGCGCAUUUGCCAAAACAAACAACGGAACAAAAGGUGCUGCCCAAUCCUCCUGGAAACGGCGCUCGGAUCAUCUUUUCUUCGUAUUUAGGGUGUGCUCUACACACGCAGGCGCCAAGUGGUGUCCUACGUGCCAAAGAAAAACAGUUACAAAGAAAACCAAUGGAUACGUACUUUACUCCGUGAGACCUGAGCUCGUUGAGGAAGAAGCACCAUUCACAGUAUAAAUAUAAAGUAGCACCCAGAGCUCUCUAUUCCUGAAACAAAAUGUCUAAAAACCAAACAAACGAACAAAAAAAAAUAAAAAAUGGUAUAAAUGAAGAUACGACGAGGCAAGCAAUACCUUGAAGAUCAUAAUGCUCAAACAUCAGAAAGGCGAGAAAUCAAGCUUGUUAAAUUUUCGUUAAGCAUACUACAGUCAUUCACACAUCCAGGAGAAAAUCACUUACCAGGGCAGUGAUAAAAAAAAAUCACAUGGAUGCACUAACUAUUAUGUCACCGAAUGGAACCUCUUGCUUCACUAAGAGAGACUGCUGGACCCGAGGACCUGUUCCACACGCUGUCAGAAACAAGUCACGAAUAAAAAAAAACACAACAUUACCAGAAUGUCAUAAAACAUGCAAGCUGCAACUCUUCUAGUUUUUCCCGUCAGAAUUUGUUCCAGCGACAAACUCGCGUUUGGAGCCUGUUUGCUGAGCCUCUCCAACAUAAGUGCUACCGCCCUGGUCACAUGAAACAUCAUUGAGAAUAUAUUUACCACUUGAUAAGCACUGACCUCGUUCGUCCGGAGCAUACAUCACUGUCUGGAGCUUGGGAGUCAUGGUCGUCUAGAAGUUCUGUAAGGAGAUGAGCGAAAUGGUGAGUGGAAAGUGCAAAUAGUAUCAUCACCUUCAAAAUGGCAAUCAAAGUCCUGCAGAAAAGCCGGGUUCAUAAACAAAUGAAACAAAAUCACGCAGCUUACGGGUAAAUCAGCUACAGAGUCGACAGCUGGGUUUAUAGAAGCGUUCAAAUUGUCUUCCCGGUUCAGAUUAUCUCCAGCAAGCUUUUUCGUGGCGGCGAUCUCUAAAAGUUUGUUAAAAUUUAGUUCUUAUGAACUUCAAGGUAAGCUUAAUACCUCUCUCUGUUUCGCGUUCCAAAACACCGUAAGUCCUCAGUUGAUAGUUGCUCGCUGGCAGCCGGCUACCAGUUAGCAGCUGAAGCAACCUCUGGUCCCUAGCAGUCAUGUUUUGCAUAAGAAGCAUUCGUCGAUAACAGCAAUCGGCUCUUUUACGAGGCCUUAGCAGAUCUUUUGUGCUACGGAGCUGGUUCUGUAGCAGCCUACCAAAACCCGGGAGUCAGAGUUGUAAACGAAUUUAUGAUACUCGGCUUACUCGUUCGAUAGCAUGGUCGACAUAUCAAACGCAAGCCGCUUCCGCUUGUUACUGGUCCUGACGUUGCUGCGUAUCACAGCGCAUGAUUUCUGAGGUGUUCUUGGAGCGAAGGCCAAAUCUGUGAUAAAAGACAGUCAAGAGCCUUUAAACUUACAGUAGCUCACCUGAUUCUUUUUCGGAAAAAUAGCCACAGUCUUGCGCGCGAAUGGCCUUCUCCCUCUCUAUCACAGUCUGAAAAGGAGCAUCUGGCAUUUGCUGAUCAGCUAUCUCAUCAACGAUCGAGGCCAAGGACCGCAUUGCCGUUGGACGUAGAAGGCUGUAAGGUGCUCGCUCCCUAUGGUCUGCCAAGACGUCAUUUGUUGGUGUUUGCGGCUGAAAUACUCCAUCGUCCACAAUGCCGGACCAUUCGUCCAUGUUUUCUUUCUCUUGGCUGCAGUACAGGGUACGUUACUCUCGUUGAAGAAAGGAAUCACACCAUAUCAUUGCGAGAUGACUUCCUCAACUUCGAAGCCGAAUGACAAAUCACCAUCAGGAAAUCUCUCUGUAAAGUAAAAAGUUAGAAACGACUAGACAAAAGCCAGUUCUCACCAUCUAGCUGCAUGUUGUAAGAUCCAAAAUGAUCUACGUUUGGCUGCAAAGUAAUGUGCUCUGCCAGUGCAACGUGCAAAUUGACAUUGCUGCACAAACGCUAACAGAAAGUUAACAGUGCAACAUUGCCAAUCAUAUUCUCGUACCUGUGUACUGCGUUUACAACCUCUUCUUCUCGAAAAGGAUCGAGCAAGUCUGCUAAGUUUCCAGCAUAGCCCACACAAAGGCGCUCAGUUUCCAGUAGAGAAGCCUCGCUAGCUUUGAUGCUCGCUUCUCGCCAUCGUUGAAUUCUCUAGAUCGACUAAAUCGAUUCGACCCCCAGAUCGAUUUACCACGUCACAACAACCGACCAAUCCCCGAUCGCGACAAGCUCUGCCGCUUUUGGAAAUAUCUAUGGGCGGCGUAUAUGGUAAAACACCUAAAAGGAGAAAUACCCUAUAACGGAAGAACCCUAAACUAAGCUGGUCCUGUAGAAAGCCGCUGCAUUCUUCCAUGGAUUGGCGAAGUAAUCCAUGCCCAUCGCCCGCACGCGCUGCAAGUCCGCACAGCGAUCGAGCCUUGCAUUGCGUCGUCCCAGGGGAUGAUCAGGAGGCGGAUCAUCGGAUUUGCGUCGACGAUGAUCCAGAUCGAUGGGGUCAUUGCCGUACCGCGCGAGCGCGGCGUAGGGCUCGCCAUCUUCCUCAGGAAGAAAUCCCCCCGGCCCGGAGCCUGGCCGUUGAGCCGAGGGCGUGAACAGGAUGAUCGAAGCUCUGCCACAGCGGCAAGCCAUCGGCGGACUCGAGAAUGAGGUUCCCGGAAUCGUCCAGCGUCAUGCCCCGGGCGGUGACGAUUCCUGACCUCCACAGCCCGUGUGGAUCGCCAAUCGCGAUCUCCCGUGCCCGAGGGCACGAUCCUGGAGCUCGGGCUCGAUGGCAAUCUCGUCCCCCGGCCGGAGGCGCUGUCAAUCAUCGCAGAGGGGAGAAGUGGAUGGAUCGUUGAUCCACCGCGCCCCAAGCGCCAAGCAAUAUAACUUUUCGCUAUGUUUUUCGGGCGGCAUAAGACCAUGGAGUUUUACUCACUCACUUGAACCUGCAAUGUGCUCUUAGCUCCUCCAUUCUGUAAAGAUUAAUGGCCGGUGUGUUAUCGCUUGAUGGCUGGGGAGGUUCCUCUGGCUCCAUGGAAAUUGUUGAGAAAAAUUGUGCUCCACCCGGUGCAAAUAGCUGACAUCACAGAAUUCAAAAUUCGUAAACUUGAGUCCAGUUCAAUUUGCUGGCAUUUUGCAGUAAUGAACAGAUUAUACCAGAUAAAAUGCUGAAUGCACUGUAAUUUUGAAGAACCCUAAAAUCAUGGCUGCCCGCUCGAGUUGACUGGCGAAAUCCUCUGAAUCUAAGCGAAAAAACCACCAAACAUAAUCCAUCACCUCCCAGAACUAAAAGAACUUUAACCAUCCGCAUUAUCGUUCAACUACCCCCAUCUGAUGGGUUAUAAGAAGCUUGUUUAGUGUUGUGGAAGUUUCAUAUAGACAAAGGCGAUCAAGCUUUGGUAAGAGAGGACCAAGUUUACACCAGGACAUCAGCUACUUUUGCAAGAUCUUGGACACUAGGACUAUCAUAUCCAAUAUAUUCCCUUCAUAUGAAAGAAUGUAUCAGUGUGCUAGAGUAAGAAAAAAAAAUGUAUUUCUACAUGUAAUGUUGAUAUUAUAUAAAAAAAAAAAACUAUAUCAGUGGGCUUGCUGCGUAAGGUAGGACUAGUAAUAUAACACCCUAGUGAAUCCAACUCACCAACAAGUUGUAUCUUGUAAUUCAUUCAGUGUCCUCUUGCAUAUUUCCAUCCUUUAAAAUGUAAAAUAUAAACAAAACCAUUAACCAGCAUAUACCUUAGAUAUAUUAAAUUAAGUGAUGGUAAGAAACCACCAAAAAUAUUUCAAAAGUAUGUGUGGUAAGAAACCAAUAUUUACCAGUUCACCCCGCAUCCAACGGCCCGGAUUGCCCAGAUCCGGAGGCCCACAAAGUUCGGCGUUUGCUCCUUAUAGUAGUAGACUGCUACAUAUAGCAUAGAAAAUUUUUGUUUUUAGAGAACAUGAACUGCAAGGUUCAUAUAUCAAAGAUCUGUGAAGUGAAUUCUAAGUCCCUUUGUGGGGCAUCUAAUGCUGAGAUAAGCAUCAUGUCAAGAAAAAAGAAUUGUUCACAAAACCAAGAGCUAAAGAUUUGUUUGGAAAUCUUUAGCAUACAAGAGCACAAGCAUGGAAUUUUUUUAUCAAAGGUUACUUUCAUGCAUAUGAGUAUAAAUCACUCUUGAAUUCACAAUGAAAAGUUGAGUUUGUGAGCUAAACAAUUGUACUUUAAUACAAUCAUUAUAAAUAUAUAAAAAUUAAGGUUCAUGGCAAGCUUAACUUUAUACUAUAUUUUAACAUCUCUACACUUAAAAAUGUUUUGGAGGAACCUUUAGAAUUUGAAUCUCUUCUACUUUUCAAAGUUCAAAGUUAGGGAAUAAUUGUCUGUGAUUAUACUUAGGCCACCCUCCGGUCACCAUAGGGUUUAUUAAACUUUAAUUUUGAUCCAUCAUGUUAAAUAUUCUUUUAAAAUAUUCUUGCCUCAUUCAUCAGCCACAAGAAUCAAACUAAGCUUCUAUACUAAUGUUAAGAUCCUAUCCCUUACACUCUAAACCAAUUAGUUAAAAGGGUAAUCAUUUUAUUAUAAGGCCCUUUUUUUUAUCUUAUUAUCCUGACCUAUCCCACUACUAUGAUACCUUAAAACUUCCCUUUUUUGCCCUGCUUAUAUAAAAUAGGGGUACUUAGCUCAAGUUUAGGGUUCAUUGUUGAUAAAGACUUGGGAUUAGGGUCCAUUGAUUGCCUCUCUCCACCCUCACAAGGUAAGUUUGUAUAGGUAGGUAGCAAUAAGUGAGUAAGACAGAGAUUUGGAAAGUGAAGCUGCUUGCAACGAGCUAAGAGGUAUGCUAGAGGCGAUCAAGAAAUCGUGUUGAAACUCUCAACAAGCAAAGUGCAAAACAACGGGCCAAGGAACUCUCAAAGCGAAGAGAAACUCACGCUGUGUGAAUACGAACAAAACUAACGAUCAAGAACACUUAGUUUCAUGUUGCCAGGUUUGCAUGUGUUUCGAUUUGUUCUAAUUUCUUGUCAUAAAGAAGCCAAGUGACAUGUUGGUGCUACUCAACGAUGAUAAGAACUGAAAAAUGCUAUGUCACAGCGUGUGACAAAAAGAAAAAUGCUACUAGAUUGGAGAGAUUUUGUGUCAACGUUUUGGAGAGAUUUGUUGUUGCUGUGCUCAACGCAAUUCCUGCAAGCCGAGAAACAACGUGAUAUUCAGAACUUCAAUCCAGCUGAAGACGUACAUGACAAUGACAACAACGAUCAUGAUCUGUCGCUGAUCCUUGGUCGGACCUGUCAACUCUCGGACCUCUCCACCUCGCAAGGUAAGUUCGUUUAGAGCUCUUCUUUGUGGUAGCAAUAAGCGAGUAAGACAACGAAACAAGAAAGAUUUGUCGGAGACAAAAGAGCGAAGCUGCUUGCAACGAGCUAGGAUCGAAUGAUCAACGAUAAAUGAGAAAUUCUCAACGUUUGAAGACAUCAGGUUCGUUCUUUCUUUUCGAUUGAGAGUGUCGACAGGGUCAAGAAGAUGCUAUGCUCAACGCAUAAGGGAGCCAGUGACACAGUCAAGCUAAAAUGCUCAUCAAACAACUCAAACGAGCUAAGUGCAAAACAACGGCCCAAGGAACUCUCAAUGCGAAGGGAAGCUUGUGAAUAUCAUUGAAAGUUGACGAUACUUAGCUUCAGGUUUGCAAGUGUUUCAAUUUGUUCUAAUUUCUUGUCAUGAAAAAGACAAGUGAACGUGUUGGUGCUGCUCAACCACGAUAAGAACUGAAAAAUGCUGUGUUCAAAAAGAAAAAUGCUACGAGAUUAAAGAGAUUUUGUGUCAACGUUUUGGAGAGGCUUUGAGUUAUGUUGUUGCUGUGCUCAGCGCAAGACCUGCGAGCUGAGAAACAAUGCGAUCUUCAGAACUUCAAUCCAGCUGAAGACGUACAUUGACAAUGGUCCAACCUCAAUGAAAACAACGAUCAUGAAAACUCCAAAUUCAAAGGAAUGUGCAUAGCGUGAAUUUACAAGGAAAGACGCCUGAAUCAACUCAUAUAUUGGUUUGUCUAACUAGGAUGUUUGCUGUUCAACGAAAUGGAAGUCGAAGUUUAAGAGGUUCGUGAGCUGUUUGUUCUAACCAAAAUGUUUGUUCAAAGAACUGGACAACGCCAGGAGAGGCUUCAACCUUCCAGGUCCAUGUUCUCUUUAGUUUUCUUUAUGGUUUCUCUAACUUCCUUUUGUUUUUGCAACACCAUGAGAUUGCGACGGUGCCACAGAACAACGUUCCAGGGCCAGCUAACGAUGGGUAAAUGGAAGUUUACGCUCUGGCAGUGGGAAAACGAGACGAUCUACACAAAGCACUCUGUGGUUUCCUUGAAAAGAAAUGAAUACAUUUACAAAGUUGCAAACAUUUGUCAAGUAGUUAUGUCUCUUCAGGCACUAGCUUAGCUGUUGUUUCCGUGGGAGUGGCCAUUGCCAGCGGGACGGGAGCCGGUUUGUGAGCUUUAUUCACGAAGUUCACGGAUGAAUCAUCUAAUCAAUCCUUACUCCCGAGAUGCAUGGGAAACGGAAGGAAAAUUCGCCCAAGAGCCAAGAACAGUGGACGAACUGGAGAUAAACAAAGAGAGGAACUCCUGGUUUGAGAAUACAAGGUUAAAACUAUUUUGCUUCUUGGUGUUAAGGUUUGUGGGCUAGCUUAGGCCCUGACUAACAAGUUGCUUUCUUAUAAUGUGAAAGUUAGACUUCUCACAAGCCCAAAGCCACAAGGCGCGAUUCUUUGUUUGAGUAAGAGCUUGCAAACUUUGAGUAUCAUAAGUGUCCCAAAGGGUGCUUGCUGUCCGCUAGGCAGUGGUGCGUUCCCUGGUCUCUCAAGUAUCACAGUGUCCAGGCCUGGCAACAAAAGCAAUGAUACAUUAGCAACACAUCUCUCGCUUUUUUUUCCCAGACAUUACCAGCGUCUUUAGCAGCAACAGCCCGUGGCGAAGUAAUCUGAGAAGGCUCAUCGGCACCCACCGAAAGUGCCUCUCGUUUGUUUCUGAAAAGGAAUGAGAUGUGAGGAGCAAAUAUAAUGAACCAAGUGCGGAAAAUCUCACCCUGCAGUAUCGAAGUAGCCCAAAGUUUGUGUUCCCAAAGAUCAACCGCUGUGCUUCUCGGCUCCCACUCGAGUAAAUAUAGGCCUAAAAGGAACAAGGUGACGACAUCAACAUCGUGCUUUGGCAACUCCUAUCAGACCUUCUACUCAGCACAAGGAGAGUGGAACGUCCUGAAAGACUUGGCCUUUGUGUUCACCGUUUUUGUAUCCUGUUCUCCAAAUAUAUCCCUGUGAUGCAAAGGACCAAGAAACGUUGAUUCAAAACAAGACCAGACCUGGAAUUAUUUGAGGGCUGUAACUUUGCGAUCAGCAGCAGUCAUGCGAGAACGUUACGCUCUGACUUCGUCCUUAUCACUUGGGAGAAUAAGCUGCGUUUGCACGUUUCCCUCCUUCGUGUCUUUAAGAACCUGCUUGACAUAACACGAGAUUUCUGCUGCCACCAAAACCAAUGAAAUCUUGGCUGUUGCCUGAGAAGGUCUAGAUCACCUUGAGUCUCCUUCGAAUCGUAAGUGGCUGAGAGGUGUUUUCCCUCAUUGUCAUGUGCAUAGGGAAACAAACGUCCAUACGGGAAUCGUGGUGCACACGAGAAAAACAUUUGAUAAAAGCCCUCAUUAAUAGACAGCAUUUCUUGCGGGAUAGUUUUUCCUUGGAGCUGCAAGGCUGAGUUUCUUCACUGGUCCAUGCAAGGGGUCUGUAUGGUCGAGGCCAAACUGGCGAAGCUUAAGUGCGGCAUCAAAAAGAUAAUGGUAGCAUUCUGCCUUCUUCGCAAAAGAUUAAGAGUCAAGCUGGAAAAAAUACUAUCACCUGAGUUUUAGCACAGAACCACGAGUCACCCCAAACGUGAUCCCAUGGUUUCUCACUAACGCUGCCGUCGUUCAUGGAUAAGCGGCACUCUUCCAGCAAAACACGAAUAAGAAAGACAACAGUGAGAAACGAACGAGCUUUUACUCACGGCUGCUGCUAAAGAAUCCGUGAGCUCAUAUUCAUAUGCAGAGUUUUCAAUGAUCGGGACUACGAGUUAACCAUGCCCUUCGAUUCCUUUGAUCAUCUCCAUGUCCACGACGGUGCGAUGUAUCGCCGGCUGAGAUCCAGAAGCUGUGCAGGCACGCAACAGCAGCACGGAAGAGCCAUCCAGCAGGCUGUCCGAUCAGCAGGAUUCCUCGUCCCCUCCAGCUACGUUUUGGACUAAUUCUCUUUUUGUCCUUAUGGUACUUAGCUUACGUUUAGGGUUCAUCGUUGAUGUAUACAAUACUCAAACUUAGGGUUCAUCGUUGAUGAAGGGCUAGGGCGGUGGAUGCCGCGGACGGGAUGUCUUGGGGUUGGGGUCGCGACCCUUCCACUCUGCCCAUUGAUCGGAGCUCCAGCUUCUCUCUCCACUCUCGCAAGGUAAGUUCGUUUAGAUAGGGCUUUUCUUUGCGUUAGCAAUAAGACAAAAGCGAAGCUGCUUGCAACGACCUAAGAGGUAUGCUAGAGGCGAUCAAGAAAUCGUGUUGAAACUCUCAACGUUUGAAGACACCAGGUUCGCUCUUUCGAUUGCAACGCAAAAGUGAGCCAGUGACACUACAAACAACUCAAACAAGCAAAGUGAAACAACGAGCCAAGGAACUCUCAACGCGAAGGAUGUGGACAACGCUCUGUGAAUACAAACAAACUAGAUCAACGACACUUAGUUCCAUGUUGCCAGGUUCGCGUGUGUUUCGAAAUUUCUUGUCAUGAAGAAGCCAACAUGUCGGUGCUGCUCAACGACGAUAAGAACUGAAAAACGCCUUGUCACAGCGUGUGCCAAGAAGAAAAAUGCUACUAGAUUGGAGAGAUUUUGUGUCAACGUUUUGGAGAGAUUGUCAGUGCUUUGAGUUAUGUUGUUGCUGCGCUCAACGCAAGACCGGUGAGCUGAGAAACAACGUUGGGCAUCUGCGAUCUUCAGAACUUCAAUCCAGCUGAAGACGUACAUGACAAUGACAACAACAAUCAUGAUCCGUCGCUGAUCCUUGGCCGGACCGGUCAACUGCCGCACCUCUCCACCUCUCAAGGUAAGGGCUUUUCUUUGCGUUAGCAAUAAGCAAGUAAGACAGAGAUUUGCCAGGGACAAGAAAGCGAAGCUGCUAAGAGGUAUGAUAAACGAUAAAAGAAAGGAGGCGAUCAAGAAUUCGUGUUGAAACUCUCAACAUUUGAAGACACCAGGUUCCCUCUUUCUUUUCGAUUGCAACACAAAAGGGAGCCAGUGCUAAGAUGAUGUGCUCAAACAACUCAAACAAGCAAAGUGCAAAACAACGGGGAUUUGUUCUAAUUUCUUGUCAUGAAGAAGCCAAGUGACAGCUCAAUGACGAUAAGACGUGUGCCAAGAAGAAAGAUGCUACUAGAUUGGAGAGAUUUUGUAUCAACGUUUUGGAGAGAUUGUCAGUGCUUUGAGUUAUGUUGUUGCUGCGCUCAACGCAAGACCUGCGAGCUGAGAAACAACGUUGGGCACCUGCAAUCUUCAGAACUUCAAUCCAGCUGAAGACAUACAUGACAAUGGUCAAACCUCAAUGAAUACCUCAACGAUCAUGAUCCGUCGUUGAUCCUGGACCAGCCCCUCCACCUCGCAAAGGUAAGUUUAUUUAUUUUUCUUUGUGUUGGCAAUAAGCGAGUAAGACAACGAAACAAGAGAGACUUGCUGGAGACAAGAAAGCGAAGCUGCUUGCAACGAGCCAAGAGGUAUCAACAAUAAAAGAAUUAUCAACGAUAAAAGAAAGGCUAGAGGCAUUCAAGAACUCGUGUUGAAACUCUCAACGUUUGAAGAAUUCAGGUUUGCUCUUUCUUUUCAAUUGAGAGUGCUGACAACGGGGUCAAGAAGAUGCUAUGCUCAACGCAAAAGGGAGCCACACAGUCAAGCUAAGAUGAUAUGCUCAAUCAAACAACUCAAACAAGCUAAGUGCAAAGCAACAGUUCAAGCAACUCUAAAUGCGAAGGGAAAUUUGUGAAUACAAACAAAACUAACGAUCAUUAAAAGUUGAUGAUACUUAGCUUCAGGGUUUGCGUGUGUAAAUUUGUUCUAAUUUCUUGUCAUGAAAAAAAACAAGUGACGUGAUGGUAAGAACUAAAAAAUGCUGUGUCCAAGAAGAAAAAUGCUACGAGAUUGGAGAGAUUUAAUUGUUGCUACGCUCAAUGCAAGACCUGCGAGAAACAACGUUGGGCCAGAACUUCAAUCCAGCUGAAGACGUACAUUGACAAUGGUCCAACCUCAUUGAAAACAACGACCAUGAAAACUCCAAAGUCAAAGGAAUGUGCAUAGCGUGAAUUUACAACUCAUAUAUUGGUUUGUCUAACUAGGAUGUUUUCUGUUCAACGAAGUGGAAGUCGAAGUUUAAGAGCUAUUUGUUCUAACCAAAAUGUUUGUUCAAAGAACGCCAGGAGAGGCUUCAGUCUUCCAGGCUUUAGUUUUUUUUAUGGUUUCCCUAACAUCUUUUUGUUUUUGGAACGCUAUGAGAUUGCAACGGUAACGUUCCAGGGCUAUCUAACGAUGGGUAGGCAGUGGCAAAACGAGACGAUCUAUACAAGUGGUUUCCUUACAUAUACAAAGUUGCAAACAUUUGUUUAGUAGUUAUGUCAAAAAACAUUCCCAGAGACGAGCUUCUGGAGGCUGUGGCAGCUACUCAAGAGCUCGUUAAACCUCUUGUAGCUGUCCGAGCUUGAAGACUUCGGGCUCGUCACUUCCAAGCCGAUCCCUUCUGGCGUGAGCACGAGCAGCUUCGUGUCCUCUGUCCACGGCCGAGGAAUUUCUUCCAGUCCAAUCGCUGCUGCCUGAGUAUUUUCAUCCAGCCUUGCCACUAGCUCGUCCAGUCGUGCCUCUGGCUCUGUCUGAGGGUUCUUCUUCGUCCCUGGCGUUCGGGAGUAGACUCAAAAGCUCGAGCUCAUUUCCGCUUCUCAGGUACUCGAGCUCGUGCCUGACCAUUGCGUCCUUUGGCUUUGAAGUUGCAGUAUCACGGGCAGUCUCAGUCUCCUUGGUGUACUGCUGGUUGUAUGUCUCCACAAAACUCACAACCUUUUCCUGGAUCAACUCGGGGAUGUGGCCACCUUGGAGGCGAGACGCAAACGUGAGACUCUUUUUGUAGUCCCCUACCUCGUCUCUGUGAAAGGGAGAGGCUCGCUGUUAAGACGCAUCAGCUUCUUCCAAACACCCGACGCCAGUUUGCCAGGAUCGCUCGCUGGGUGCAACAUGGCUAGCCUCCGGUUCUUCAUAGCUCAGGUACACUUCCAGCGGAGCAAGUAGAGACUUGUAUUCAAUGGUUUUGUAUGACAUAAACUGGUUUACUCUGCCUUCUACACCUCUUGCAUACUUUGAAAACUGUUAAUGGUCAAAGGCAUGAAUAAAGACCAUUAGCCAGGAAUUUUUUGACUCGACUAUAAUGAAGAUAAAUGGCCAUGUGGUGUGCUACCAAAAGGCUGGGCAGGUUCCUUUGAUCAAAGCGCUGACAAUCUCUCCAAAACGUUGCUAACCUAGUAUGGCACACGCUGUGACAUGUCGUUUUUCAGUUCUUAUCGUCGUUGAGCAAAACCAGCAUGUCACUUGGCUUCUUCAUGACAAGCAAUUAGAACAAAUCGAAAGACACGAGAACCUGGCAACGUAAACCUAAGUAUUGUUGAUUGUUCAUAUUCGUCCACAUCAGUGAGUUCGCGUUGAGAGUUGGCCCGUUGUUUUGCAGUGUCACUGGCUCCUUUUUGCGUUGCAAUCGAAAAGAAAGAGCGAACCUAGUGUGAGAGUUUCAACACAAAUUCUUGAUCCCCUCUAGCCUUUCUUUUAUGGCAUUGGAUUAGGCAGCGAGGAUCAUGUUGAGAGUCCAAAGACCGCGAGAAAUCAAUCUGCCAGCGAUUAGGGCGUGGAACAAACUAAUUUACUCUCCUACAGCUGACGAUGCCACUCAUGAAGAGCAGCACCUCCAAAAACUAAAGUAGCCUUCGUGCAUUCAUUUCUUUCGUGAUGAAAACCACAGAAACAGGGCCCAUACAUCUUUAGACCAUGGAGUCAAGGGGACCAUUCGCCACUCUUAUUUGAAGCUCCCGUGCGGAGAGGAACUAGCAGUCCAGGGUUGUAAACCUCGCAAAGAGCUCGCUUUGCAGCAGCCUCUUCAUCUGCUCCACGAGCAGCAUCACCACAAUCCGGCGCUCUCGCAUCCCGCCCUGGGGCAUGGGAAGUAGCACCACCACCCCGUUGCCAUACCACGGCUCCAGCACCAUCGAGAAGUGGGCCGGCCGCCCCCCAAACUCAAACUCGUACACCGGGAAUGAGUGCAAGCUGACACUGAAGAUCCCCAUCCCGGUGCUGGGUGGCAGGACGUUGAGCCCGAUAUCAUGACUCAGCACGCCACGGAGGAAGCGAGGAGUGAGCGUGGCAAAGGGGCAACCACGUAAGAGUGAGGGGUGCUGUAUUAUGCAUUUCUUCCUCAUGGCCCUUGCGCAGCGUCUCCUCCAUCCAGUCGAUGGUAGACUGGAUCCUCUCCUGGCCUACGUUGCGGACAUCCUCGUGGAAGAGCCGCGCGGUGUGGGAGAUGUGCUUGUUCUUGAGAUCGCCCACGGCGCACGGCAGGCAGAGCGUGAAGGAGGAGGUGCCGCAGUACUCGCUCGGCAUCGGUGAUGCACUUCCAGACGAGAGCCGAGACGGCCUCGAAGGAGGUCGAAGGCUGCUGCCGUAUGCGAACGGGCCAGACGCGAUCUCGUGCUUGAGCUCCGCGAGCUGCUGCUCGUUCAUGUGGAAUGCCCGGACGUGGUAACUGGGCUUGAAGUCCUGGGCGGCCUUGUCCAUCUCCUCGGCGAUGGCGGGGGUCACAGCAACGAAGUCCCGGACCGGCACGGUGACGCUGGGCGGAUCCCACGCCUUGAGGAGGCUGGAGUCGAAGCUGGGCGGUGGAUUCGGCGGUGGGAAUCCCCGGUGGAGCUCCGACCAGGCCUUGAGGAAGGGGAAGACCGAGGAGCCGUCCAGGAGGGUGUGGCUGGUGACGAGGCCCAGAGCUAUCCCGCCACACCGGAACUUGGUCACCUGGGAGAGUAGUCAAAGCCGAUCAAAGCCGGUCAAAGGACUUACCUGAACUUUGAGCUGAGGGAAGUUCUCCGGAUCGGUGAUCGCGGUCUGGGCCGGGUUGAGCUCCUGCCCGAUGGAGCACUGCUUCAUGGAAUUGCCCCAGUCGCCGAAGCUCGCAUCGGUGAAGGCCACCACGAACUCGAUGCCACGGUCGUUGCAGUCGAGGAUGGGACGGUCGAGGCCGGUGAUUCUGGGCCUCCCGGCUAGCGGAUAGUACGGGACGAGGAUCCGGGAGAGCGAGUCCUUCAAACUCGCCACCAGUGAAUCGAAAGAGCUUAUGUGGUCCAGAGCAGCUGGGUAGUAGUAAACUUGCUUGAGAUAGUUCUCGGCCAGGACCUGGAUUUGGAAGUUGCAAAGCCAGAGUGCAGAGCUGCGGUGUUGGGACCGCUGGAACGAUCGUCGACACGGACUCUACGCGCACAACCAUCUUUGCAACCAAAGAUGAAAUCCACAAAAACCACAAAAACACUCAAGAGAGGGAGAAAGAAUCCCACUUUUGAUGCAUGAUUGACAUGGCGGCUUCACACACUGCAGGAGGGCUGCAUAGGGGCGGACCAGAUUGGUGGAGAUGGUGGUCUUGCCUGAGGCAGUGUGGCCGCACAUGAACAGCUUGGCAAUUGAUGGUGUGACUAGAGCGCUUUUUGCAAGAACGGGGCUCUUCUGAAAUAGAGCAUUCCUGUACUUCAUUGUAGCAACCAAAAACCCAAGUUCAGGGGACUCUGACUUUGAACCCAGGGCUGCAUUGGAGCCAUAGAUUAAAUCAUGCACAGCAUAUAGUAUAUGCUAGUAGUUAGAACCACUAGCCUUUCAAAAGGGGGAAUCUGAAUUAUGGAUCCCUAUCUCCAUUCCAUCGUUUUUUUUAUCAAUACACAGCAUUCUUUUACUCGUGCUUCUUCUCUGCCCUUGGAGAUUGGGCUCUUUUCUCUUUUGUUUUCUUACUAACAAUAGAUUUCCAGUGAAGAGGAGUUUUCACACCUCUUCAUUUGGCAACCACGGCUUCUGAAUUCCCCUUCAGGUUCACAAAUUCUUCCAUUUUUUUUCUCCCUUCUCUGUGCGCAGAUAGCAAGAACGAUCCAGAAAUCUACCCAUCUCGCUCAAAUUCGCCCAAAUUACGCCCUAAUUCGUACAUUCACCCAAAUUCAACACGCAAAUGCCACUGCCACCAUGGAUCAACGGCGUCCAAGCGGUUGCUGCCCAACGCAGUAAAGACAGACACUUUCCAGAGGAGAUCUUUGAAGAAUCUGCAAGCUCUCUCUCAAGAUCUCCAAGUCCAAUCACCGACGGAGAACACCAACGACUCUCUUUGACAAGAAACUCCAAUCUACCAGCACCUUCAUCAGCGAACGCCCUCAGCAGCUUCAUUGGCAAACUCCAUCUCCGAGCACAAGACCACCCACUCCAAGCUCGAGACAUCAACCAGCGCCCUCGACACAAACCGACACCACUACCGAAACGAACCCAUCUUCCGUGCAGUCGUCGACCCAGCAAUCCUAGCGUUCCGACAGAAUUCCAAUUCCUGCACCCACUCCAAAUACCGAAGCACAUCCUCAAAACCUACACCAACGACGAACCCAUCACUCUGUUACCCGGUAUCGGACAACUUGUUGAGGGACAACUUCACAACGCACCACUGAUUUUUCAACAACCCUUCCGACAAAGUCAGCAGCUCAGCACUGAAACAACAGUCCGAACUCGGUUCGAAAUCAACACGUUCGCUGCAACAACUCUCGCCAAUCACGCCAUCGCCCAAUCCAGACUCGAACAACUCGACGACAUUAUCGAAGAAAUCAUUCCAGACAAACCCGAAUAUCCGAAACUCUUCAUUGAACUCCAUCUCGGCACCAACAAGUGGAAGACCAGUUUGCAUACUGCACCAGCACACUCGAACCAACACAACUCGGCUGAACACAACCCAACCCAACACGCACCACCGUCGAUAUUUGCACUGAAAAGAAAGAACAAGCUCACAACGACUUUAUCGAGAAUUGGCCCACCGACAGUCUUCCCGAAGUUCUGCCCAAACUGCAUGAUUGACUGCAGACACGAAUCUGACACCAACAACCAGUAGAAGAAUGCAUGUAUCCAAAACCACAAAGAACAUCCAGCAAGUUGGAAGAAGACCGACAACGGCUUAUCCGACAUUUAGAUAGAGAUUUGAAGAACUUAGAAACAAAGAGAAAGAAAGACCAAGAGAAGUUGAAUCAAGUUGUUAGACCCUCCAAGAGAGAGAAUUACAUCUGACACGAAUUAUUACCGCGAGCUAACUCCGACGAACUAGUAUCGGACAUCCGCGAAGAAUACGACAACUACACAACACCACCGGACACACCACCGGCAGCACCCUCGACGGCACCCACCGAAGUGCCCGAGCCUGAAUCACCACCCUCGACGGCACCCACCAAAGUGCCCGAGCCCGACCGAACAUUCGAGUAGUCGACACAGACUACGCCCGAGCAACAAAACAUUUUUCAAGCAGCAUACAACCACUUCAAAGGUACAUUCACCAACCCCAUCUACAGUGACGACGAACGACCAAGUUUCCCGCCCACCUUCACAGACUUCACCAGACCAGCACCAUUUUUGCCAUACCGACCAAUCGUCACAACAUCAAUAUAUCCCACAUUUGCUUCCAACAUCUACCGAAGCCCGCUAUCAGCAAGACCUUUCGAACACGCUUUUGACUUCAACACGCCGACGAGACAACAACUCGGCUUCACCAAUUACAGUCGCACUCCGAUAUACCCAGUCAACAGCAGUAAAGACGAACAACCCGAAUCGUCCAAUAGUCAAGCACUUGACGUCAACAACUCACACCGAACUGCCGAACAGCUACAAUCAUACAACAACAACGAGAUCGACGAACCAAUUGUCGACGACAAUAAUCUUCCACAACAACCAUAGUCACCACACAACUAUACAUUCGAAGAACUCUUUGACAAUUUAGAAGAACAACCACAACCAACACAACAUAACUCCGACAAGUACGUCGACAACAAGUUCAAGCACCAUCUUCCGAAAAUCAACACCGGCAAGCAACCCAACACCAACGACGACGUCGACGACACACCCGAAAACAGUCCCAACAUAGAAGAACAAAUAGAGAAGAGUCCACUAAACAACAACAACAAUUCACCACCUUCCUCUUACACCAACUUUGCCGUCGACCCCGACAACCCCUUGCUACAAAUCACUUUAGCACUCCACAGUGACAACCUGACAAAACAACCUCGACAAUACCGACAUUACUACCAACAGCAAAUGGCAGUCACUACCGCCGUCGCCAACAUACUUGUCGGAAGACACGUCUCCUAUCCACUAUUUCAUGGUCUGAAGUCAGAAGACGCCAAGAAACAUGUUGAACAGUUCCAAGAAGCAAUCUGAAUCAAUGGCCAGACGACCGAACUUCCAUACUACUUCCGAUGUACCCUUCGAAAGAGAGCCAACGAAUGGGCUCAAACACUUCCUCAAAAUACAAGUUUCGACGACCUCGCACUCAAGCUCGUAGACCGAUGUGAGUCUUCCCUCACUCAAAGCCAACGACUUCACAAGAUCCAAAAACUCAAGCAGAAGUCUGGUCAAUCCAUCGACGACUACACUCAAACCUUCACUCGACAUGCCAGCAAAUGCAGCAACAGUGCCACCGAAACAUUACUUUACCAAUGGUACAUGCAAGGCCUCCGACGAUCCCUCCGAGAAGCGGCAACACACAUCAAGAGCCCUUCAAGAUGUUCAAGCUCGACAAAUGACAGCACAAGUAGAUGACACGGAUAACUCAGAUUCUGAUAGCAGUUCCAACAACGACUCCGAUGAUGAACUCGGAGAGAGCACCAAGUCAAAACUUCGGAAACUUACGAAAACAAUCGACAAGCUCAAGGGAAAAGCCAAGGCCGACAUCAAAGAAUUUCGAUCUGGAAUUUGGUGUACUAAGUGCAAGAACGAAGGACAUCCGGCAAGUGACUGCAAGCUCCAAAUCUCCAAAUGCCAGAUCUGUACCAAAGAAGGUCAUGACACCAAGACUUGCAGAUUUCAAAAUUCUCCAGAAGUUCGACAAGUCUUGAACUAUCCCCGACAGCAGUUUCGACAACCAUAUCCAAAUCAAUACUUCGACAAUUACCAGGCACAACCUCCGACAAACUGGAGACUGCCAAGAAACAACUUCCAACACCAGAGUCGACAAUGGAAUGAUCAACCUCGCUAUAACAACUAUAACAAUUACAACAACGACUACAACAACAACAACAACAAUCGACAACACCCGCCGAACCGGAACUACCCAGCAAACCAAGACAACUACAACCAAGGAUACCAACAAUACCCAAGAUACCAAGGCCAAGGUUAUCAAGACCAGGCCUACCAAGGCAACUACAACAACCGACCAUGGCAACCUCGACUUCAAAACCAAGGCGGUCCGCCGAGACUUGGUCCACCGCCUCCUCGACAACAAGAUCAGAACCAGCAGCAACCACCAACAACAAGGAUGGUCGAGACUGAUGAACUACCUUAUGCCGACAAUGACGACUCAGAUCCUCAAGUCAUGGCAGUACAAACCCAAGCACAAAUUCGAGCAGAAAAACAACAACAACCGGAUAGAGAUUCCGGAGAUAGUGAAGAGAAAGGCCCUGAGAGCCCGACAAAACUUCGAGAAUGGAAAAAGAAGCAGAAGUUAGCUGCUAAGAUAUAGCAGCAACUGGCUCUACAACCACCCGAAUUAGUGAUUUUAGACUUCGACAAUGAAGCUCAACCAUCACCAGCUCGACAACAAUGCCAAGACUCAAUACUAGAAAACGGACAGACAAAUCAUCCAACAUGAACACCGACACCAGAACACAAUUCGGCAAACUUUGACAAAAUCCAAGCAGUCGCAGAGACUAUCCUCAACCAAAAUAUUCAGAUCACCAUCGGCCAACUGCUGAAGAUUGCACCCUACCUCACCAAACAGCUCACCGAUCUGACAUCUGCACCGACCAACACUUUGAUAGACUCGCCCACACUCAACUCGACACAGACAGCUGUUGACACAUUUCGAACCGAGAUUCAACCAGGCGAUUGUGACAAUGAUGUUCCGACAAUCGACCUACGACUCGACAAACAUCUUGUUCGAGGAGCCAUAAUUGAUGGCGGCUCCAGCGUUAAUAUUAUUGAAGAAAGUCUUGUUCAACAACUCAACAUCGGCCCAGUUCACCCAGCACCUUUCAAUGUCCGAAUGGCCGACCACCGAUCUGUUCAACCCAAAGGCAUCAUCCGAAAAGUCAACACCACCAUUCAAGGCGUCGAAAUACCAGUCAACUAUGGUGUCCUCAAACUACCGGAGCAGACUGAUGGAUACUCGAUUCUCCUCGGUCGACCUUGGCUCCGAACUGCCCAAGUUUAUCAAGAUUGGCCCAAUGACAAUCUUAUCCUUCGAGGACCGGACGGACCGACAACCGUGUCGACAACAGCGAUCAAAUCGCUGUCCAGCCACAACCGACCUAUUUACUUGGAAGAAUAUAAUCUCGAAGAUGGCCUCGACGACUAUGAAGAACAACAAAUUCUCAAAGCCUACCCCGAUCUCGAACCUUUGGCUGAGAUCGACCUCUUCCGAAUUGUCGCCGACUUCCAACGAGAACGACCCCCGAUUACAUCAGCACUGAAAAAUCCAGUCACUCGAGAUACAAAACUCGAAGCACCACCGGCAUUCACAGUCGACAACCACAACAAAGUUGCCUACAUUCCAUCAAUUCCAGCAGACCAAAAACUUGAAAAAGUCAGCCUUGCCGACGACGGCAACGAACACUAUAUUGUACUCGCCACUGACAUCUCGGCAAGUUUUCGAGACAAAGGCAUCAAUCUUCUCCGAAAGAAGAAACACUUGUUCGCUUGGAGUUAUCGAGACCUUAAGGGAAUUUCGCCAAAACUCAGCCUUCACACCAUCACCUUUCUUCCAGACUCAAAACCAAGAAGACAAGCAGCCUACCGGAUGAAUCCGAAUCUGAUGGAACAAGUAAAGAAAGAACUCGACAAGCUUCUCCAAGUUGAGUACAUCUACCCGAUUCAGAAUCUGAUAUGGCUUUCACCACUAGUGGUUGUGCCCAAGAAAAAUGGCAAACUUCGAAUCUGCGUCAACUAUAAACAUCUCAAUGACGCCACCGAAAAAGAUGUCUUCCCAAUACCAUUUACCGACGAAGUUCUUGACGCAGUCGCCGGACACGAGAUGUAUUCCUUCCUCGAUGGUUUCUCCGGCUACAACCAAAUUCACAUCGCCGAAGAAGAUCAGCACAAGACAGCAUUCAUCAGUCCAUGGGGAGCCUAUGCUUAUCGACGAAUGCCUUUUGGACUCUACAACGCCCCAUUCACCUUCCAAAGGCUUGUUACCAACACUUUCUGAGACUACCUCACUGACUUCAUGAGAGUCUUCAUGGACGACUUCAGCGUUUUCAGCUUGGAAGAUCAACAUCUUGAAUGCCUGGAGAAAUGCCUCAACAAGUGCGAGGAGAACAACAUAGCACUCAACCCCGACAAAUGCGCUUUCUUCGUCAAAUCUGGAGUACUUUUCGGCCACGUUGUCUGCAAAGACGGCAUUCUCAUCAACAAGGACAAAGUCGACGUCAUCUCCAAACUUGAACCGCCGAAGAACCAGAAAGAACUUCGGCGCUUCCUCGGCAAAGUCAGAUAUCACCAACGAUUCAUCCACAAGUACGCUCACAUUGCCAAACCACUCACCGAUGGACUAAAACAAGAUGCCCAAUGGACAUGGACGUCCGAACAGCAACAAGCAUUCAACAAUCUCCGACUCAAACUAACAACAGCACCGAUCCUUGCCAAGCCCAACUGGACACAAGAGUUCCACAUUCAUGUCGACACUUCCGACGUAGCCACUGGUGCAAUUCUGAGCCAAACUCAACACGACAACCGAGAUCAGCCGAUCUACUACGCCAGCCGACUACUCAACCCAGCUGAACGAAAUUACACCACCACCGAGAAAGAAGCUCUCAUGAUCUACUCACUUCAGAAGUUCCGACACUACAUACUAUCAACCAAAGUCGUAAUUUUCGUCGACCACAAGGCACUCCUUUACCUCAUCAACAAACCGAUAUUAUCUGGUCGAAUAUCAAGAUGGUUCCUUUUACUACAAGAAUACAACUUUGAGAUCGUCCACAAACCCGGCAAAAAUCACGAACAAGCAGAUUAUCUCAGCCGGAUCACCACCGGCGACAAACCCGAAAGACUUACUGAUGACUUACCCGACUCAAACCUAUUCUGAGUUUCAAUACCAGCAACCUGGCUCGACGACGUCUUCAGUUACCUGAACUCAGCAAAAGUUCCAGAUCAGUACACUACGUCUGACCAAAAGAAGACUUUUGUUGCUAAAACCCGACAAUACUCAGUCAUCGGAGGCACUCUCUACAAACUAGGAAUUGACAACAUUCUUCACCGAUGCAUCAAACCACAAAGCACAACUCAAAUCAUCAAGGAAGCUCACGAUGGACCUUCCGGCGGACACUUUGCCGCUGACACCACAGCUCGGAAGAUUCUUCAAGCCGGCCUCUGGUGGCCGACACUCUGGCAUGACACUGAAGAAUUCUGCAAACACUGUGACACAUGUCAAAGACACCGAUUACCGCCAAAAACUCAGACUCAACAACUCAACCCAACAUUCCCAAUGGCACCAUUUCAGAAAUGGGGACUCGACUUCGUCGGACCCCAAAUCAGCACCCGUCGACGAAAUCAGUACAUCAUCGUCGCCACCGAUUACACUACCAAGUGGGCCGAAGCAAUACCUCUCCAACAUGCCACAGCGAAAGCAACAGCAACCUUAAUCUACGAAAAUAUCAUCACUUGUUUCAGCACACCACUCGAACUCGUCACCGACAGAGGCACCCACUUCAUCAACCAAAAAAUCGAACAUCUCGCCACCGAGUUCAAAAUCCGACACAAAACGUCGACACCAUACUAUCCUCAAGGCAAUGGUCAAGCAGAAGCAACGAACAAAACACUGAAGACCAUCCUCAAAAAAGUCAUCAACGAUUCCGGCAAAGACUGGGAUGACAAACUUCUCGACGUACUUUGGGCCUUUUGCACUGCGUAUAAAGUCACCACUGACAUGACGCCAUUCAAACUCGCCUUUGGAACAGAAGCCAUCACACCAAUUGAAUUCAUCGUCCCAAGCAUGCGAGUCACCGUCAAAUAUAAUCUCGACACCCGACAUGCAGUUCGAGAAAGGCUUCAGCAACUCGAACAUCUCGACGAACUCCGACUCAACGCCCUCUGGACACUUCAUGCCAUCCAAAAACAGAGAAAAGCUCGGCACGACCGACAAGCAUCCCGGCAUAACAUUCCCAAAUACAGCGUCGACGACCAUGUUCUCUGGUACCGAGGACCCAUCGGCAAACUUGGCCGAAAACUCCACACCAACUGGCAAGGACCUUUCAAAAUCAUUGAACUAUACCCCAAUGGCACUGCCAAAGUCAGCACACUCGCUGAAGAAUUCACUGAGAUCGUCAACCUCAACAAGCUUCGACCAUAUCACGUCAACAUAUUCAGCAUCAGCACCUCAGCAAAUUUCAGACCCAAACCGACAAACACCCCAAAACCAACAAUCAACACUCACCCCAGCAGACAAACUUUAACUCAAAUCAGUUCGACACAACUCAACUCAACUCAACACGAACUCAUCCACCAACUUCACCAACAAACAGCAGCAAAAAUUUCUAAGUCCCAAGCUACCGUUGGAUCAAUGCCACCUGAGCAAAUAUCAACAGUUGAACUUGAGUUAACUUCAUCACCAAUAUCCACCAUUGAUUUGCAAUCAAGCCAAAUCAAACCACAUCAUUUCCGUCAACAAAUCUCGACUGUUCAUCACCAGCAAUCGAGCGCUGCACGAUCAGCCAACCAACAGUUACAGGUUUCAAGAACCCUAACGGGGCGAGCACUUCGAUCGCAGAAAAUGAAGAGAAAGAUGCCAGCUCAUCCACCCCGGCGCCUCAGAUACGUCAUACACCAUAUUCCUAAGCUUCCCAGCAACGACACAACCACCUGGCUCAAGGAACACGGAUUCGAGCUCCUCCACAAGGCCUUUUCAACACACCCUGAUCAAAAACUAGCGAGGAAACUGGCCACCUCCUUCAACCCCAAGAACAGCACCAUAACCGAUGGCACCAACGAGAUCACCCUCAGCCCAGCAAGAAUCGCCUCUGUUUUCAAAAUCUCCAACAAGGGACUGCUCAAAUUUCAGGAGAAGUUCCACAGCAAAUCAUCAAGGCCAAUUGAGAAAUUACCGGUGAGCUCACAUGGGAGGACAUCGAGGAGCAGCAUAUGGAUCGCCUCAAAGCCCUCCUCCUCUACGCCCAACAGAUCGCACCAUCAGCAAGCGCACAGCAGAAGUCUACGGAGCUCUACUCGACGGCAAACGUGUGAACGUGGCACAUCAUCUCCACGAGCUCCUUCUCAAGCUUCUCGACCGCGCCAUCCUCGCCACACUCAACAAGAAGACCAUGCGGACAGUAAUCUUCCCACUGCUGAUCGCUUUACACCAAGCUCUUCCCAACAAGCAACCGUGGACAACCCAAACGAACUCCACAGAACAAAGCGACAGCUCCGAAGAACACUCAGAAUCAGAAGGAGCAACUCCCAGCAAGAAACUGAAGCCAGCAUCUCAACAAUCAGGCUCAACUCACUCCAACAACACCAGCUCCAGCAACAAACACUCCAACAAUUCAACUCCACUUCGCCGCCGCUUCACACGCAAAACACCAGUGAAUCCAGCUCCCAAACCACUGAUCUGAGAGCACCUCAUCAUCAGCGACAAUGAAGACAACUCACACCACCAUCCACACUCACCCCAGAGCCCGCAUCCACUCGAAUCACCCCCAAAACCAACAACUUCUCACAAACAUGUCAACAUCGCCAAAGAAAAAUGUCAGCUGCUCGCCCAGAACUCAAUUUCUCCACCAGCUGAGAACAACAUUCUCAACGCCCCGACCUCCUCGACACGUUCCACAAAAGAAAACAUUGACUACCUUCGCCAAUCACUUGAAGAACACGCAACCAUGCCUCCUCCAGCAAAUACCACGACCAGCAUUCACAAAAAUUCCGCCCCUUCAACAAAAUUUCAAGCGAAAAAUUUCUCAACGGAUAAAUUAAUUUCAGCGCCACAUCUGGGCCGUUCAUCCACCAUCAAACUGAAAAGCUCAUCUCCAACCACCUCAAAGAAUCUGGCCCGACCACGUCACCCACAUCCGACGAAGCAGAUUCAGCCUCCAGCAACUUCAACUCCCGGGACCAAGAACACAGCGAACCCUAGCGAGAAACACCAGGAUCACGGAGCAGGAGCAGGAGCAGCAGCCAUGCCUCAGCCACAGAGUUAGGUACGCCGUGAUUAUGACGAGAUCAGGAAGGAGUACGAAGAUAAACUUCGCGACCCAAGCUAUUGCACCCGCAAGUUGUUUGAAGCCCUCGAUCAACACAUGCACCGCAAGCAAGCAAACUACUUCCCAACACCAGCCGACAUUGCACAGCAUCUUCUCAAGCAAGACUCCUUCAUAUACACCCGGGGAGCGAUCAAGAAGGAAUUCUAUGAGCCUUUAAACCACCGGCUGGAUACUCAAAUUGAAGAGAUGAAGCAGAUCCGCACUGACCUCCGGGACAUCAGGAAGAUCGUCUCCAAGCAGCCAUCAACCCCAUCAGCAGCUCACGAAUUCACCUACAAAUUCAAAUACGAAGAGCUCAACACCCGCUACCGAAAACUCGAGGAUGAUCAUACUGCCCUACUGGCUGAGGUAGCCGACCUCUAGGAAGAUGGGACAGAUCCACCAGACAGCAUCCCUAACCACGAGCUUACACUCCCACAGCAAAAAUGUCGCCUCUAUCGACUUGAACAGCAGCAGCAACAAGCGAUGGAAACUGACUAUGUUCGCACCGAGGAUGGUGUCUAGUUCUGUCAGGGGAGCAGAAUGUAGCAACCAAAAACCCAGGUUCAGGGGACUCCGACUUUGAACCUAGGGCUGCAUCGGAGCCAUAGAUUAAAUCAUGCACAGCAUAUAGUAUAUGCUAGCAGUUAGAACCGCUAGCCUUUCAAAAGGGGGAAUCCGAAUUGUGGAUCCCUAUCUCCAUUCCAUCGUUUUUUUUAUCAAUACACAGCAUUCUUUUACUCGUGCUUCUUCUCUGCCCUUGGAGAUCGGGCUCUUUUCUCUUUUGUUUUCUUACUAACAAUAGAUUUCCAGCGAAGAGGAGUUUUCACACUUCUUCAUUCACCCUCAACCAUCUGUCCUCCAACAGUUUGGAAGCCCAUUCCUCGCGAAUGCGAAUGCGCAGUCUCUAGAUCCGGCUGCUGUAGUUGGCCUCCAAACUGCUGAGAAUCGCAUCUUGAUUCUCCUUGAGAGGAUGAAGGUCACGUGAGGAAAGGCUUCCAUUCUGCUUACAAAAAUCAGUGUCAAUAUCAAGACGAACAUGUUGAAAAAACCACAGGUAACAAGGAGAAACUCGCAUCUUGAUACUCGUUGAGAGGAAAAAUGUCAUUCUGCUUAAGAAAAUCAGUGUUAAUAUCAAUGUUGAAAAAACCACUCACCUUUUCCCAAGGUAACAAGGAGAAACUUUCAAGCUUGCAAUAUGGGCUCUUCAGCAGCUGGCCCAUGAGCUGCGUGGAAGAUAAAUCAAAUUUCAAUGCUGUUAACUCCAGGAACCAGAAUUUGGACUUCGCAUUGUCGUUUAUGCAAUCUUCCAGCAGGGAGAUCUCCGCAAGGCUGGGCUCAUUUGAAAUUCCAAGGCCCUCUAUUGCUCCAAAGAUUUGGCUGAGUAGCCUACUCGCCUGAUCAUUUGGGAUGUCGACCAGCGUAAGCUUCCGUAAACUUGUUCCAGCCUGGAAGAGGGCAGGGGUCAAGUAUUCAUUCUGAUUGAGGGACAGCUCCCAGAUCUUGCAGGCUGCAUCUUGCAGCAGCUUCUCCAGGUUGGGUGAGCAAUGGCAAUUAUAAAGCUCCAGACGUUCUAAAUACUUCGCAAGUGUUGAUCCUGCUAAAGCAUCUAAGUCUACAGCACAGGAAUCUAGAAAAAGCGUCUUGAGCUUGAUUGGCAUCCCCUUGUGCUUGGCAGCAGCAAUAGCAUCAUCCAAGCUGCGAAUCACCUCCUCGCCAAAUUUGUUUCCAAUAAUAGCAAGGCUGCUUAGCUUGGACACAGUUGCAUCUAGAAACCCCUCCACUUUGUGGUAGCCCUCCCUUCACACGAUUACGUGCUCCAGAGUGUUGUCCUCCAGCAGCAGCAGCUCGCGCAAGCCUUCGAAGUCUUCUGAAUCGAAGUUUGCUGCUCUGUGUCUCUGUUCCUUCAGUUCCCUCACACUCGACACCCUAUGGCUCUCCAUCUUAGAGAAAAUGCUUCCCAAAUCCUUGUAAUCAUCUAUCCGGGCCUGCUUUGGCUCCCCCAUGACUUCCAAUGGAAUACCAUCAGAAAUUACAACAAAUGUCGUUGAUGAAUCAACAUCCAAAUGACAACUUGGAAGUCGCUAGAAAAGAUGAAUCAGUGGCUUGGCAUGCUUCUUGGCUUUAAACAUGAAAUCAGAUACCUACGGUGCACGUCGUACAAAGUGGCAUCAAUCAUGCUAAAUCUUUUUCUUUUUCUUUUUCUUUUGCUUUGUAAAGGUAAUUGUUUUUGUAGGCAAUUAGCAAAGCACAUGCGUUAGACAAGCUGUACAAGUUUCGUAGGUAGCUUCUGAAGAGAAGAAUGCCAAGCAGCAGCUCGUUCUCUCACUUGGAGCGUCUAACAACGAUUUACUUACAUGCUCUCAAAUUCUCGAUCUUGAAUGGAUUUUAGUCCGCAAAAAUGCGACUCCUAUAUAUUUACAUGGAGAAAAUGAUUUAGGGGAAACAGAGUAUGUCAUUUAACUAGAAAACUAACAAGAUCUUCCAAGAAAGAAGAAAAAGAAUAAAAAAGAAGACCCACAGGGAUAUCACAUCCACGGGCGUUGGGUCGUUCUUCCAUCUUGCCGGAAGAAAGAAAAAAAGAAAAGAAAAGAGGAUUAAAGCAAGAUCCGGAGAGACAAACCUGAUCAUGCAGUCGGAUGAGGAUGGAGCCCCAGCCGUGGGCGAAAACGAGCAGCGGCACCGGAUUCAGGCGCGGUCGCUUUGUAUGGAUGGUUUCGAGCUCAUCCACAGCGGCCUAAACAACUUUUUGGUGGAGGGAUUUGUUUAGAGUUCUUUUGCGGUACGGGGGGCUGGCUUUCAUGGCAGCGACUUGGGAGGUACAUUUCUUGGAAGAGCUUGCUUGGAUUUGGAUCGAACACGUAAUUUAUGGCGUGCAAUUCGUAAAAGGGUGAGUGUUACUGCAGUAGAUUUCACUCACAAUACAAUGUCCAUGUGGCAGUUUUCUAUUGGUUUAGCAUUAAAUGUCAUCUGGAUGCCUCAUGGAUACCCCAUGGAUGCUGGCCCAAUGAGUCGAUGAUGUCCUUAUGCCACAAAUCAUUAAGUUUGAGUGAUGGAAUCGCUCCAGAACACUGGAAUCCGGAGCUGUGAUCGCGGCUAUUGCUAUCAAUCCCUAGCAGCACCGCAGCUCUCCAUACCACCCGAAAUAUCCCCUACACCAUAGCCAAGAACAGAUUCUACAGAGCAUAGAAUAAUAGAGCACUAAAGUAGGGCACUAAGGCAAGGAAGCGUACUUGUCAUCGCCUUCUCCCCUGCGUUGCCAUCCAGCUCGUCCCCGGCAGCUCCAGCUUGGUGACCUCCAUCCUCAAGAAUUGCAAGGAAGUAAGAGGAUUCAACUAUUGCCUAGACGCUGUGGCGGGUAACAAUGGGAGCAUUGAUGAUUGCGAGCAGCACAGUGGCGGUCGGCAAUGCGGGGAGGACACGGCGAUGGCCGUUGAUGACGAUCAAGGCUGCCACACUCCCAAAUUCUAGAUGGAGUUAGAUGGAGUAUGCUUGCUAUGACAUUAUGUUAAAAGAGGUGUGCCAAAAAAGGAUAAUUCAAUUCUUUUGCCAUGAGCCCCAAGAGCAAGAUGUGAAAACAUAGUGCUCUAGAUAAAGUAGUAUGAUAUGCAAUUUAGUCGAUUGUCCAUUUGGUUUGCAACAUUAACAACUUGCUAGAAUGCAUGGGAUGAAUGGGUUUAUGGGCCAUGAAUGGCUCCAUUCCAUACAUAGCAUGGGUCAUUGCUAUGGGCAUGAUGCCCCAUCCGGGGUAUAAGGAUUGGAUAUUCGUAAAAUAUUCUAUGCUUGUGUUUUUUUCACACUCAUAUUACACGUGGACCAAUAACAGGCAUACACGUGGUAUGAGUGAAAUCCACCGUUGUAAAAUCCACCCUUUUACGAAUUGCACGCCAUAUAAUUGUUAUUGACUUGAUUCUCUCGUGGUUUUCUUGCCUUUUUUUGGGUUUAGAACAUCCACGAUGAAGAACGGGGAUACGCAAAACAAGCAAAGAAAAGCGAGUAUAAUCGUUUCACAUGAAAUCAACGACUGUGGUAUUAUGUCAUAGGAGAAACGAAAAGAUCUUUCUGGAAAUUCUUUAGACCAUAUCCAUUAAAGGGCUUUUUUUUAUAUUGCUCGGUUUCUAGGGUUUAGCGAUGGCGCUCGGCCAUUUUAACACGAACCUGACAGAAGAAAACGUUUUAAGUACCUUCAAAUCCUCGUCGUCGAUAGACGAGAACUUUCUUUCCUCCUUUCAUAAAGAAUCGAGAAACAUAAAAUGCAAUAAUGAUUAGACCAACAAAGGGUAAUGUGGUGUAGGACUCGUGGCUCUGGAGUGGAGCGAAUGGUGCUCGCCGGUAAGCUCCAAAUGCGCUAGCUCUCUAAUGGAGUCAAGGUCUACAUUGCCACGGAUUCCAGGGACGUAGAGGGCGACGAUGGGGAAGUACUCUCUAUUGUUUGGGACCUUGACGACGGCAGGAAAUCUGAUGCGGCGCCGCCCUUGUCUAGAUUCUCCGAGGCGGCUGCUGCUGGAGAGGACGAAGCACAGCCGAUUGACACCGAUGUGCUUUCCAGCGGUGGUGGUGGUGCUCAAGACAAUUCCGGGAGCUGAGAUGAGGAGCAGCGGUACUAGCAGGAACUUUACGAGAAAGAGCUUGUGGAACUAGUGACGACGAUGGUCGUGCUCCAGACGAGCGCUCGGGGUCGGACUCGGACUAUGACGAUCGAUCGCCACCCCCGCAGCUACGUAGUAUUGAUAUGCUGCGAGGCUGCCGAAGCGUGGACGAGUUUGAGAGGCUUAACAAGAUCGACGAGGGGACUUACGGGGUCGUCUAUCAUGCUUGGGACAAGAAGAGUGGAGAGAUUGUGGUGCCCAAGAGAGUGAAGAUGGACCACGAGAGAGAAGGAUUCCCCAUGACUUCUCUACGGGAAAUCAACGUUCUUCUCUCGUUUCACCAUCCAUCGAUCGUGGAUGUCAAGGAAGUGGUGGUCUCAUGCCUUACAAAGCAAUGACUAGUGCUCUUUCAAUGCGUCAAGUAUCUGCACAACUGAUCAAGCUCUUUUCUGGAACUUAUGACAAAGAAAGAGCUCGGAUCACUAUUACCGCAGGUGCUGGCGGAACCGAUGUGCAGGUAACAUUGUGUGCUGAUAUCUUUUUAGAAGCUUUGAGAUUGUUUUACAUACAUUCCAGCACAGGGUGAGAUGCUUCUAAGGAUGUACCAGCGAUGGGCUACCAGGUCGGGGUUUAAGUCGACUGUGGUGGAGAGUUAGGAAGCUGAGAUCAAAUCGGCCACACUCGAGAUCGACAGGGGAGAGAAAGGCACACACAGGCUGGUACUGUGCGUGCCUUUCAACGCCAAAGCUCUACGACAGGUGAAGCAAACGUUAGUUUCAUCGAAACUCUUGUCUCAACGUUUGCUUCUCUUCACAGACGAGCUUUGCAGGAGUGGAAGUGACGGCUCUGCUGGAAGAGAACGAGAUCGAGGUGGAGUAACCCGAUGGCGACCUUGAGAUUACAACGUGUAGAUCUGGAGGCAAAGGCGGGCAGAACUUAAACAAGGUCGAGACUGCUGUUCGUGUCACGCACAUUCCAACCGGGAUUGCUCUUCGCUGCUCAGGUACAUGAAAUGAAGUAACCGCGCAGUGCUCUCAUCCAAGCUCCUGGUGAUUCUCGAGGAGCAAAGGGCAACCGAGAUCAAACCGGUUCUAGUGUUGGCUGUGGAAACACUGAACGGCAGGACUUUAAGCUGAAGUUUGAGACAGUGUUACAGGUAUUGACAGAUGCGUUGCUGUUUGUUGUGAAACUUUUUCUUCCUUCGCAGUGUAGGCUGGAAAGCAUUUUAAAACGAGGCAGGAGGAUUAUUAUCGUGGGGCACUUGAACAUUUCUCCAUAUCCUAUUGAUUCAUGUGACACUGACCAAAAAUUUGAUACCAAUACGUAAGUCACUCACUGAUUCAAGCCGCUCUAGUAGUUUUUAACAUGUUCAUUUUAACAGGAGCCGUCAAUGGUUUAGAUCAUUGCUGGUGAGCGAGGGUGGUGCGUUUUCAGACUCGUUUCGCGUGUUUCAUCCUGAAAUGUAACUCUUCACGGUUUUUGUCUGGCCAAAUCAUACCUGCUUAUAUGUAUCUUGUCAGCAGAGCCUUACACUUGCUGGUCUCAGGCAUCGGGUACGGAAGAGUUUAACUAUGGCAGUCGUAUUGAUCAUGUUCUUAUUGCCGGUCCCUGCGCUGGCCAUUGUCAGUGUCUUGAUGGAUCGCAUGACAAUAGUACCUGUGACGGAUUUGAAGGGUGUGGAACAGAAAUGGGUGACAUUUUUCUUGAGUUUAAGCGUGCAAAGCUGGACAUCCUUCUGUGUCCCUCGUCCAGAGCUCUUUUGGUGUUUCAAAUCAUCAGAACCAACCCUUCUUCAAUAAUGGUGAUCUUCACAGACCCAGCCACUUGGACUUUUGAGGAGUCCAAAACACUUCUUCAUCAUCAAGAUUCGGUCCUCGCCAUAUCGUUGAGGUGAAUUCUUUUUCACAUACUCAAACAACUCCACAAUGUCAUCUUUUGAUGCUGGUUGCAACCUGUUAUCGAGAUCGCCUUCAAAGCAGGAGUCGAUUGUAGCCUUCAAGCCAUUUGCACCAAGCUCAAUCAAGGUGCCGACCAGCUCCCCUCCCUCAGGCAAUGCCACUUUACCGAGCUUUGCGAGGGUGAAACACAUUGUGAUGCCUGGGACGAAGAUGUUGCUAUACUUUUUGAACCAUUGAUUUGGGAUAGUGAUUGGUACUCCUGGGUACUUCUUCAAAUCAACUGGGUGACAGCCGCUUGGAUGCUCACAUAAGUACCUAAUAUUUGCGCGUUUCCCAAUCAGUGGUGAAUAUUUUAGCAACAGAUUUGACUCCAUUGUAAGGUGAGGGAGUUUCGGACACUCCAGCUUAGUGGAUUCCAACAGUGAUGAGCAACUCUUGAUCAAUGCGUUUUCUGUGUCCUUUAGGCCCUUUUGCAGCUUCUGUAAAGAUCCUUUGAUAUUUGUUAUGGAGACUUUGAAGUCCUCCAUAUAUAUCUGAAUCCCUUGCAUUUGAUGCUUGUGUAAUUGGUAGCAAAAGUUGGCAAGCUUGCUCAUGUCAUCACUUUCAAACUUUGGGAUCUCGACUUGCACAAGCUGUUGCUGCUGGCUUUGAUACAGUGGCACUAUGUGCUGGUUGUAUUCUGUGACAACCUCUUCGACAGCACACUUACGUGGCUGAAUAAUCUCGUUGACUUCACUUGGCAUCAAGAGUUCCAAGACACUUGUGGAGUCACCAAAACCCCAGGUAAAGUGAUAAUCAAAGCCAUCCCUAGCUACCAUCUGUUUAACCUCUUGCAGUACCCAACAGCCCUUGCUGUUUUCAUCGCAUGAGCCCUGUUGUCCUGAUGCUUUCCCAAAUUGUCUUACCUUCACUGGAUUCAGAACAUGCUCUUCAAGCUUGAUGAAAGGACAGGCCCUGUUAGUUUCCUUGACUACACAAUCCCGUAUCUCCUUCAUGAACUGCUCCCCUUUGAGUCCCCUCUUUUCCUCCUUGGGCACCAUCAACAUAAUAUCCACCCAUUGCCGAUCUGUCCAAUGCUUAUAAUCCCCACCAAUAGUCACCAGAACUUGAAUGAGAUCCUCUUGGAAGGAAACCCAACCAGCACCAAUUUUACUUCCAUGGCCCCAUCUGUCACACAUCUCCUUCACCUUGGCUUGAAUAACUGCAAAUACUCCUGCUUUCAACCAACGAACACACAGACAUCAAUGUUUAAUCUCAGCAGUCAAGAGCAUAAUUACCUGAUGGGAGAAGAACGAAGCCCUUCAUAGUGUCGUCUGCUUGCAAUCUCCGACCCCAACAAUCAUAUGUUUGCUCGGUUUCAAUCCAUCCAGUGAACUCAUCAGGCAAUAAUGCAGGCACAAUCAGGUGUUCUGGCCGAUUUCGUGGCUCUGACCACCUUAUGUCCCAGCUCCUCAUGCCAUCAGGAAUCAAAACCCCCAUCUCACAGAGCAGCUUGAGCAGGAAAUAGAUGUUGCCCUCUGCAGUCUCUCCAAGUGUUUUGAGCUCUUGUACUGCUUUCACAGUAGACCACUUGGGUUCCCCCCACUUCAUCUUAUCGUUUCUCUCUUGCUUAGGAAUGAAAAUUCCUAACACAGUAUGGAGAAACCAUGGCAUGUCUAGAACUGCAUUGUUGACAAUCAAUGCAGCUUCCUUGUCGUUUGGAUCCGUGUUUUGAUAUGUGUCAUCUGCCCCAAAGUAGACAGCUUCUCCCAUAUCAUGUAGGCAGAUGAAUGUGUAUUGUGCAGCAAAUGCCUGAACUUCUUUCUCCCCCUGCAACCAAGCCUUGGACAUCUCAUGUAGGUCGACCACCCUCUGCUGGACAAUUGUUUGUGCCUGUUUGUGGAUAUGAUACCAUGGUGUGGAUGAACCCCGCCCUCUGAUAACCUCAUCACAAGUCCAGGGAAUCACAGGAAUUUCAUUUAUCAUUUCGCCCACUGCUAUCGCCAGCUUUGGCUUCAGUUCCUUCUGUACCUGACGAGCAUUCAACCCAUUCACCUCGAAAUAGUGAUCACCACGUUGGCCCUGAACAAAGUCUAGCCUGUCCUUAUACUUGGGUACCAGUGACGUCGCAGCUGCUCGAGCUUCUACCAAGAAACCGUGAUCACGAACAAAGAUGUUGAGUACUAAGAAAAUGGUGGGUUUCCUAGCUGGUGUUGCAGUUUGGUGGGCCGCUAUGAAGCGAAACCAGUAUUGGAGCUCUGUUUCCAAGUCUGUUUUCAUCUCACCUCCAGGACCUCCAACCUUGCACACCACCAUGAAGAGAUCUUUGUCGCUGCCCCUGAGGAAAUAGUGAUGAAAAGCGUGGUAGACCUCCUGGCCUCCCAGAUCGUAAAUCAGGAGUUUCUUCCUCUCACCAAAUCUGAGAGUCCUCCUCUCAAUUCCCACUGUUGAUGCAUGAUCCUGACGCGGCGGCGUCACGCACUGCUGGAGGGCGGCACAGGUGCGGACAAGAUUGGUGGAGAUGGUGGUCUUGCCCGAGGCAGUGUGGCCGCACAUGAACAGCUUGGCAGUUGAUGGUGUGACUGGAGCGCUUUUUGCAAGAACGGGGCUCUUCUGAAAUAGAGCAUUCCGGUACUUCACCCUCAACCAUCUGUCCUCCAAUAGUUUGGAAGCCCACUCCCCGUGAAUGCGCAGUCUCUGGAUCCGGCUGCUGUAGUUGGCCUCCAAAUUGCUGAGAAUCGCAUCUUGAUACUCCUUGAAAGGAAAAAUGUCAUCCUGCUUAGUGUCAAUACCAAAACCCCCAGGUAACAAGGAGAAACUUUCAAGCUUGCAAUAUGGGCUCUUCAGCAGCUGGCCCGCGAGCUGCACGAAAGAGAAAUCUAAUGAUGUGAACUCUAGGAACCAGAGCUUGGACUUGGCAUUGUUGUUUAUGCAAUCUUCCAGCAGGAAGAUCUCCGCACGGCUGGGCACAUGUGAAAUUCCAAGGCCUUCUAUUGAUCCGCAGAUUUGGCUGAGUAGCGCCUGAUCAUUUGGGAUGUCGACCAGCGUAAGCUUCCGUAGACUUGUUCCUGCCUGGAAGAGGGUGGGCGUCAAGUAUUUAUCGUUAUCCAGGGAGAGCUCCCAGAUCUUGCAGGCUGGAUCUUGCAGCAGCUUCUCCAGGUGGGGCGAGCAAUCGCAUCGUUUAAGCUCCAGACGUUCUAAAUACUUUGGAAGUGUUGAUCCUGCUAAAGCAUCUAAAUCUACGUCACAAGAAUCUAGAAGAAUCGUCUUGAGCUUGAUUGGCAUCCCCUUGUGCUUGGAAGCAGCAAUAGCUUCAUCCAAGCUGCGAAUCACCACCUCGUAAAAUUUGUCUCCAAAAAUGCCAAGGCUGCUGAGCUUGGACACAGCUGCUUCUAGAAACCCCCCCACUUUGUGGUAGCCCUCGCACCAGAGUCUUACGUGCUCCAGAGUGUUGUCCUCCUGCAGCAGCAGCUCGAGCAAGCCUUUGAAAACUGAAUGGAUGGUUGCUGCUCUGUAUCUCUGUUCCUUCAGCUCCCUCACACUCGACACCCCAUGGCUCCCCAUCUCAGAGGAAAUGCUUCCCAAAUCCUUGUAAUCGUCUAUCCGGGCCUGCUUUGGCUCCCCCAUAACGUCCAAUGGAAUACCUCAGCAAUUACAACAAAUGUCGUUGAUGAAUCAACAUCUAAAUGACAACUUGGAAGUGGCUAGCAAAGAUGAGUCAGUGGCUUGGCAUGCUGCUUGGUUUUAAACAUGAAAUCAGAUGCCAACUCUAACCUACGGUGCACGUCGUACAAAGUGACAUCAAUCAUGCCAAGUUUUUUUCUCUUUCUUUUGCAUUUGCUUUGUUUUUGUAAGCAAUUAGCAAAGCACAUGCGUUAGACAAGCUGUACAAGUUUUGUAUGUCGUCCGAUGCUUGAGCACAGGCCAGGUAGCUUUCGAAGAGAAGAUUGCCAAGUAGCAGGUCGUUCUCUCACUCAGAGCGUCUCCCGAGUCUAGAAUUUUACAAUAACAACGAUUUACUUACAUGCGCUCAAAUUCUCGAUCUUGAAUGGAUUUUAGUCGGCAAAAAUGCGCCUCCUGGAGAAAAUGAUUUAGGGGAAACAGAGUAUGUCAUUUAACUAGAAAACUAACAAGAUCUUCCAAGAAAGAAGAAAAAGAAUAAGAACAGGGAUAUCACAUCCACGGCGUUGCAUCGCCCAUCUUGCCGGAAGAAAGAAAAAAAGAAAAGAAAAGAGGAUUAAAGCAAGAUCCGGAGAGACAAACCUGAUCAUGCAAUCGGAUGAGUAUGGAACCCCAGCACCGUGCAGCGGCACCGGAUCCAGGCGCAGUCGCUUUGUUUGGAUGGUUUCGAGCUCAUCCACAGCAGGCUAGACAGCUUUUUGGUGCAGGGAUUUGUUUAGGGUAAUGGGCCCAGGGUUAAUAAAAUAAUGUAAGAAUUCAUUUAUUUAAAUAUAAUUUUUGUACGUAAAGGUAUAAUAUAAAAGUUUAUAUGAUUUACUGCUUAUAAACUAAUUUUUAGAAAAAGCUACUCACAAAAUCUUAAAAACCGCUCAUUACUAAAAAGUCUAAAUUUAUCCUAAGUCUGUCCAUUUAUGGCCCAAUAUCCAUCCGUUUAUGGCCCAAUUUUUUGUCCAUUGAUGGCCCUACCAUUCUAGAUUUGUUGCCGCAAAGAGGAGCGAAAGCAGUGUGGGAUAAUAACAUUUUCCAGGUAACUACAAGCAAGCCUAGAGAUAUUAAAGUGAAAACAAGCAAAUUUGUUAUUUUUGUUUUUGGUGUUUGCUUAGCAUUAAAGAUUCUAGGACUUCAUUCUUUCUCUUUCUUUUUUUUUUCUCAUUGCUUCCUUUUCUUUCUCCCUUUUUUUUUCAAGGCUUCCAAUUUUUUCUUCUCCAUCGCUUCAGUUUUUCUAGUUGCUGCUUCUUCCCUCUCUUUUUUUUUGAUGGCUGCUGCUUUUUUCUUUUUUAUUGUUGCUUCUUCUCUUUCCUUUUUCCUUGUAGCCCUUUCAAUUACUUCCAAUUUUUUUUGCUUCUCAUGUGCUUCUUUUGUAGUGGCAAUUGCUCCAACAACACUAGUGAAUUCUGGACUUGUUAAAACAGUUCUAGCACUAGCUUGCAACAUUGGUCCAAGUCAAGGACAACUUUGCACCCCUAGAAAUAAUUUUGCAUGCAGGUAUGCCACCUUAUUGUUUUUUGAUUGCUAUCCAAGCACAUUCAUGUGUUGCUCAUGCUGCUCAACUCGAUGCUCUAGCGAAGCUCUUGGGAAACAAAGUUGUAAGUGAAUGAGAAUUGAGAAGUGCUUUUUACCUAGCUGCUCAAGUUGUCUAAGAAGUUUAGGAUGCUCAAGCUGGUCACGAUCAUUACUUGCUUACUGCUCAGGCUACACUGGAUGUUGUAGAUGGACCUCAGCCUGCACUGGAUCCUCAUGCUAUUCAGGCUACACUAGAUCUUGCUGAAGUUCUAGUUCAUCAUUGAGGUGGCUGAGCUCCAAAGUGUUUUUGAAGUCUGUUUCAAAGCUGUCAAGAGAUACUUCACGGAGUGUACUUGGACCAAAGUGAGUGUCCAUAGCAUUCUUGUUUAACAGCCAUAAACCACUUGCUCUAAAACCAGAUUGGAUGUUUGCAGGUGUCAAAGCCAUAGACAUAGCUCUACUGGAUAACUGUGUAAGAUCUCGACGAUUGACUUUGUGUCCUAGAUGUCCAAGAGUGUGUUCAUCCACACACUGCCUGAAGUAACACUUGUAUGGCCCAAAACAUGCAAUGUUUAACGGCUGCAUGUGGUGAGAAGUAUGUGUUAGAAGAAGAAUCACAUUCACACUUAACAUUUUUGCUGUGUCAAGUGCAACCUUUGUAAUAUGGGAUCUGUGGCCAUCAACAAUGAGAGCAUGGCAGUUUGUAGGCAAGCAUCCACCAGGUACUAAUUUCACAAAGUGUUCAAGCCACUGUGGCCACAAAUUGUCUGUCAUAUAGGCUUUCUUGCUAAUGGUGAAGGCAGUUCCAACUUCACAAUCUGCGAUCCAAUUUUGCAUCUUCUGCUCACCUUUGAAGAUAUAAAAGCCAGGUAUUUGUCCACCUACUGCAUUUAUGGCCACUAGAACAGUCAUGUGCUUUGUGUUGUUUGGGAUGAUUCAGUAAUAGGAUCUUGCACCUCGAGCAGGUAACACUUUGACACUUCCAAAACGAUUAGCCUGAACGCCAGUUUCAUCAGCAUUCCAAAUGUGAUCUGCCUUAUAGUUGUUUCCAGUGUAAGUUGCUUCGAAGUUUUUGUAGAAUUAUGCCACUACUUGAUUCAAGGACUUUGCUCAUUGCAACUCCAAGGCCUCAGCAACUUUGCUACUGAUCUCUGGAUGUCUUUUCAUAAAACCUUUGCACCAUUUUUGACUUGGUCCUCCUUCUAUCUAGGUAGUUACUCUGCCAGCAACUAACAGCUUUGCUGCAUCUUUCAGUUGAUUGAAAGUGAGUGGAUAACCUAUUUCAGCUCAAACUUUCACCAGAGAUGGAAGAGACUCUUCUUCCGAUGAUGUAAGAAUGGUGGGAGGACCUGGUCAUCCUGUGCUAUGUCCCCUUAACUGAUCUCGCAAAGUCGUCCGAUGUAUGUUGAAUUCUUGAGCAGCUUUUCUUUCAGACAUGCCACACUCUUCCACCUCAUGCAUAGCCUUCUUUUUUGAUUCUUCAUUCCAUGUUCUAGUUGCAUGCUUAUGGCUAUGUGCUAUGGCUGGAGGCUGACUUACAAGACAUGGAUAAAUAGUAGAGAAGUCAGACAUUUCUUUUUCUUUUAACCUGACAAUCUUUACCUUUGCAGUGCCAAGACAUUGGCUUUCAGGUACACUUUCAGGGAUAGGAGCUGCCAAACUUCUUUGCACCACAGGCUGGAAGCAAGUCUAGUUAAAAAUCUAAAAUGGAAACAGAUAGUUACCUCUUGUUGCAAGGACAGCCCAGAAUGGGAUAGCCUCUGGGAGCUGUGAGUGUUUGCGCACGAGCUCUUGAAAGUUGUGUUCUUUUGCCGUAUAAUAUGUUGGUUUCUUGUUAUAGCAUUUUGACCAGGCAAGAAAAUGGUGUGCGAUGUGCUUCAUGUAUGCAUAUUGUGUUGGCUGAGCUUUGUAGUUGAUUGAAUAGUAAAUCUUGUGAUAGGAUCUAAGAAAUUAUUAAGAAAUGAAUGCUUUUCUUCUUCAAAAGAGUGGCAUACCUUAAGAUUUGAUGUGUUCUUUCCAACUUUUUCACUUUUUUUGCCCACUCCUGAGAUGAAAUGCAGCUUGAUGAAUAGUUGAACUCAACAAAUCCCUUAUUCCUACAGUUUUAUUAAGCUCUAUUAUAAACUCAGGAAUAUAGAUGAAAUAGAGCAAUGAAAUGCAUUCCUUUUCUUCAAAAUAAUUAGAUUUGUGAUUGAAAAAAGUGAUGAAUGCUUGGAUGACACUCAAAUCCGUCAUAACCUAGGAUGCCAUAAAACCCGCCAAAUAAUUGCCACAUAAUUUUCUAUUUAUCACAUCGACAAGGUUUGGGCCAAAGGUGGCCGGAAUUAAGGACCCGGGCGAGAAUUGGGCCUGUUACCCUAGAGUUUUUUUGCAGUACAGGGGAUUGGCUUUCAUGGCAGCGACUUGGGAGGUACAUUUCUUGUUUGCUUGGAUGGUUUAUCCACAGCGGCCUAGACAGCUUUUUGGUGGAGGGAUUUGUUUAGGGUUUUUUUGCGGUAUGGGGGACUGGCUUUCAUGGCAGCGACUUGGGAAGUACAUUUCUUGGAAGCUUGCUUGGAUUUGGAUCUAACACGUCAAUCUUAUUGACUUGAUUCUCUCGUGGUUUUCUUGCUUUUUUUUUUUUGGUUUAGAACAUCCGUGACGAAGAAGAACGGGGAUACGGAAAACAAAGAAGCAAAGAAAAGCGAGUAUAUUCGUUUCACGUGAAAUUGGUACUAUGCCGUAGGAGAAACGAAAAGAUCUUUCUGGAAAUUCUUUAGACCAUAUCCAUUAAAGGGCUCUUUAUGAGAUUUGGAGGGGGUUUAGCGAUGACGCUCUCUCGAUAGGGUGAGCGAUCGCGGCACAGGGAAGAGGUUCGCUCUUCCAUUUUAACACGAACCCGAUAGAAGAAAACGUUUUAAGUGCCUUCAAAUCCUCGUCGUCGAAAUCAUCGAGUGGUACUAAGAAACGAAAUGAUCUUUCUGAAAUUCUUUAAACCAUAUCCAUUAAAGGGCUUUUUUUUAUAUUGCUCGAGGUUUCUAGGGUUUAGCGAUGGAAGUACCUUCAAAUCCUCGUCGUCGAUAGACGAGAACUUUCUUUCCUCCUUUCAUAAAGAAUCAAGAAACAUAAAAUGCAAUAGUGAAUAGACCAACAAAGGGUAAUAGAGCGAAUGGCGCUCGCCGGUGAGCUCCAAAUGCGCUAGCUCUCAUGCUCCCGCCCGAGCGAGCUAAUGGACUCAGGGCCUACAUUGCCACGGAUUCCAGGGACUUAGAGGGCGACGAUGGGGAAGUACUCUCCCAUUGUUUGGGACCUUGACGACGGCAGGAAAUCUGAUGCAGCGCCGCCCUUGUCUAUACUCCGAGGCGGCUGCUGCUGGAGAGGAUGAAACACAGCCGAUUGACACCGAUGUGCUUUCCAGCGGUGGUGGUGACAAGACAAUUCCGGGAGCCGAGAUGAGGAGCAGCGGUAUGAGCAGGAACUUUACGAGAAAGAGCUUGUGAAACUCAGCGAUGACGAUGGUAGUGCUCCAGACGAGCGCUUGGGGUCGGACUUGGACUAUGACGAUCGAUCGCCACCCCCACAGCUACGUAGUAUUGAUAUGCUGCGAGGCUGCCGGAGCGUGGACGAGUUUGAGAGGCUUAACAAGAUCGACGAGGGGACUUAUGGAGUCCUCUAUCGUGCUCGGGACAAGAAGAGUGGAGAGAUUGUGGCGCUCAAGAGAGUGAAGAUGGUCCACGAGAGAGAUGGAUUCCCCAUGACUUCUCGGAAAUCAACGUUCUUCUCUCGUUUCACCAUCCAUCGAUCGUGGAUGUCAAGGAAGUGGUGGUCUCAUGCCUUACAAAGAAAUGACCAGUGCUCUUUCAAUGCGUCAAGUAUCUGCACGACGACUGAUCAAGCUCUUUUAUGGAACUUAAUGACAAAGAAGGAGCUCGGAUCACUAUUACCGCAGGCGCUGGCGGAACCGAUGUGCAGGUAACAUCGUGUGCUGAUAUCUUUUUAGAAGCUUUGAGAUUGUUUUACAUACAUUCCAGCACAGGGUGAGAUGCUUCUAAGGAUGUACCAGCGAUGGGCUACCAGGUCGGGGUUUAAGUCGACUGUGGUGGAGAGUUAGGAAGCUGGGAUCAAAUCGGCCACACUCGAGAUCGACAGGGGAGAGAAAGGCACGCACAGGCUGGUACUGUGUGCGUGCCUUUCAACGCCAAAGCUUUACAACAGGUGAAGCAAACGUUAGUUUCUCGAAACUCUUGUCUCAACGUUUGCUUCUCUUCACAGACGAGCUUUGCAGGAGUGGAAGUGAUGCCUCUGCUGGAAGAGAACGAGAUCGAGGUGGAGUAACCCGAUGGCGACUAUUGAGAUUACAACGUGUAGAUCUGGAGGCAAAGGCGGGAACGUAAACAAGGUCGAGACUGCUGUUCGUGUCACGCACAUUCCAACCGGGAUUGCUCUUCGCUGCUCAGGUACAUGAAAUGAAGUAACCGCGCAGUGCUCUCUAAAAGUUUCUUCGUGUAUCUAGAGGAAAGAAGCCAACUCCAAAACAAGAUAAAAGCAAUCGCGCUGCUCAAAUCCAAGCUCCUGGUGAUUCUCGAGGAGCAAAGGGCAACCGAGAUCCAAGAGAUUUGAGGGGACGUUUGGUAUGGAGCUUCCUCGCUUUCAUUUGCACUGAUUGUUCUUUUCUGUUUGUUGAUGGAUUCUUUCUACCUAAUACUCUUCAAUAUCUAUGGUCCUAGUGUUGGCUGUGGAAGCACUGAACGACAGGACUUUAAGCUGAAGUUUUAGAAAGUGUUACAGGUAUUGACAGAUGCGUUGCUGUUUGUUGUAAAACUUUUUCUUCCUUCGCAGUGUAGGAUUUUAAAACGAGGCAGGAGGAUUAUUAUCGUGGGGCACUUGAACAUUUCUCCAUAUCCUAUUGAUUCAUGUGACCCUGGUCCAAAAUUUGAUACCGAUCCGUAAGUCACUCACUGAUUCAAGCCGCUCUAGUAGUUUUUAACAUGUUCAUUUUAACAGGAGCCGUCAAUGGUUUAGAUCAUUGCUGGUGAGCGAGGGUGGUGCGUUUUCAGACUCGUUUCGCGUGUUUCAUCCUGAAAUGUAACUCUUCACGGUUUUGGUCUGGCCAAAUCAUACCUGCUUAUAUGUAUCUUGUCCAGAGCAGAGGCUUACACUUGCUGGUCUCAGGCAUCGGGUGCGGAGGAGUUUAACUAUGGCAGUCGUAUUGAUCAUGUUCUUAUUGCUGGUCCCUGCGCUGGCCAUUGUCAGUGUCCUGAUGGAUCGCAUGAAAAUAGUAGCUGUGACGGAUUUGCAGAGUGUGGAACAGAUAUGUGUGACAUUCUUCUCGAGUUUAAGCGUGCAAAGCUGGACACCCUUCCGAGGUACGCCAAAAAGACAGACUAGUUGUGGCCAGUGUUGAUGUUUCUCCAUGGCAGAUGGAGUGGUGGGAGAAGCUUAAAACUGGAUGGUUCAGAUCACGCUCCUGCUAUUCUGCGCUUAAGCAUUAUCUUCCAUUCCACCACAUGAAGCUCCACAACUGGCUGCUCGAUUUAUGCCUGAGCUUUGCGCUCCUCAGGAAAGUAUCAGUAAGUAACUUCUUAAAGCGAAGGACGUUUCUGACAACCGCUCGUGCUGACUGGUGCAGUUUCCAUUUUCAGAAAGCUCAACGAGAGAACAACAGCUAACACCGAGCCUGAUACAAGCCGAAAUGUUUCCAAGCCUGGUUUUACACAGGAAACGGGCAGCAGGAAACUACAGAGGCUGUCACAAAGCCGAUUGACAGGGUUUUGCUAUCAAAGCAUGAAUCUUCUGACAAAAUGAGCUGCACAGAGGUUGCAGUGCAUGGGCAGAGCUCCAGCCUUACGGAUGAAAUCCAGCAAUCAGCUGAAUCGUGCGACAAUAACAACUGCUCAGAGGUUGCACCUUGCGGGGAGAGUGCCAUUCUGAUGGAUAUGUCAGAUGAAACACCGACGGAAAGCUCUCAGCAAAGCUUGGAAAAAUUGGCAGCAGGCUGGGAACGACUGAAGAGCUUGAUGUCGCGAAAUCUUCUAUCGUGCAAGGGACAUGGUGAGACUUGUGUCGUGAGAACAGUUAAGAAGGCUGGUCCCAAUCUUGGCCGUGGUUUCUACGUCUGUACUCGAGCAAAGGUGAUCUUCCUUGAAAGAUUCUUCAUAUUUUAUUCGUUGUUUCCAACAGGGCCCAGCUUCCACUCACAAGCUCGGGAUCUGAGACUUGGAACGCCUUGGUAAUUACAUCGUCGCUCACGUCCGGCCUGGAAGCAAAGACCGCCUUUGCAACCUCGAAGUCCCCGGAUUCUGGCUGUUAAACGUGGCGAUCCCCACAGCUUCCUCCUUCCCAACGUUGAGCUGGAAGUGGACGACCCGAGGAAACAUGACCCGACACGAACAUGUUCCCGGCCUGGAUCACCCCUCCGUACGCAUAAGGGUCCUCUUCUGAUCCUGGAGCACAGGCCAGGAGGCUGGAGGAGAAGAAUGGCCAUUCAGCAGCUCACUGAGAAAUCUCUUUCCCUAGUCUAGAAUUUUCAAUGAGAAUUUUUUACUUGCAUGCUACGCUCAUGCGUGCACAGGGAGUAACUAAGGAACAGCUGAAUCGUAGGACUCCUGCGUUGCACCGUUUCUUUGUGGAAACUUUGAAGUGUCCGAUGGUGUGGAGAGAGGUCUUAAGGUUUGAUCUCUAAGUUCCCUAAUUAUAUGAGCUCUGGACAUACAAUAUAUGAACUACACCUUGUGGAUAAGCAUAUCGUCCCAAACAUUCUGCCAAGAACUUAGCUGCUUUCUUUUGUUUUUUUUCUUUGAAUAAAAAUUCCUUCACUUCACUGCUUCUGAAUUUUAGUAGUUUUACUAAGCCUGUGCCCUUCUUCUACAAUAAUAGUGAUCUUCACAGACCCAGCCACUUGGACUUUUGACGAGAUCAAAGCACUUCUUCAUCGGUCCUUGCCAUAUCGUUGAGGUGAAUUCUUUUUCACAUACUCAAACAACUCCACAAUGUCAUCUUUUGAUGCUGGUUGCAACCUGUUAUUGAGAUCGCCUUUAAAGCAGGAGUCAAUUGUAGCCUUCAAGCCAUUUGCACCAAGCUCAAUCAAGGUGCCGACCAGCUCCCCUCCCACAGGCAAUGCCACUUUACCGAGCUUUGCAAGGGUGAAACACAUUGUGAUGCCUGGGACGAAGAUGUUGCUAUACUUUUUGAACCAUUGAUUUGGGAUAGUGAUUGGUACUCCUGGGUACUUCUUCAAAUCAACUAGGUGACAGCCGCUUGGAUGCUCACAUAAGUAGCUAAUAUUUGCUCGUUUCCCAAUCAGUGGUGAAUAUUUAACAACAGAUUUGACUCCAUUGUAAGGUGAGGGAGUUUCGGACACUCCAGCUUAAUGGAUUCCAACAGUGAUGAGCAGCUCUUGAUCAAUGCGUUUUCUGUGUCGUUCAGAGCUUUUGUAAAGAUUCUUUGAUAUCUGUUAUGGAGACCUUAAAGUCCUCCAUAUAUAUCUGAAUCCCCUGCAUUUGAUGCUUCUGUAAUUGGUAGCAAAAGCUGGCAAGGUUGCCCAUGUCAUCACUUUCAAACUUUGGGAUCUCAACCUGCACAAGCUGGCUUUGAUACACUGGCACUAUGUGCUGGUUGUAUUCUGUGACAACCUCUUCAACAGCACGCUUACGUGGCUGAAUAAUCUCGUUGACUUCACUUGGCAUCAAGAGUUCCAAGACACUUGUGGAGUCACCAAAACCCAGGUAAAGUGAUAAUCAAAGCCAUCCCUAGCUACCAUCUGUUUAACCUCUUGCAGUACCCAACAGCCCUUGCUGUUUUCAUCGCAUGACCUGCUUUCCCAAAUUGUCUUACCUUCACUGGAUUCAGAACAUGCUCUUCAAGCUUGAUGAAAGGACAGGCCCUGUUAGUUUCCUUGACUACACAAUCCCGUAUCUCCUUCAUGAACUGCUCCCCUUUGAGUCCCCUCUUUUCCUCCUUGGGCACCAUCAACAUAAUAUCCACCCAUUGCCGAUCUGUCCAAUGCUUAUAAUCCCCACCAAUAGUCACCAGAACUUGAAUGAGAUCCUCUUGAAAGGAAACCCAACCAGCACCAAUUUUACUUCCAUGGCCCCAUCUGUCACACAUCUCCUUCACCUUGGCUUGAAUAACUGCAAAUACUCCUGCUUUCAACCAACGAACACACAGACAUCAAUGUUUAAUCUCAGCAGUCAAGAGCAUAAUUACCUGAUGGGAGAAGAACGAAGCCCUUCAUAGUGUCGUCUGCUUGCAAUCUCCGACCCCAACAAUCAUAUGUUUGCUCGCUUUCAAUCCAUCCAAUGAACUCAUCAAGCAAUAAUGCAGGCACAAUGAGGUGUUCUGGCAGAUUUGGUGGUUCUGACCACCUUAUGUCCCAGCUCCUCAUGCCAUCAGGAAUCAAACCCCCAUCUCACAGAGCAGCUUGAGCAGGAGAUGUUGCCCUCUGCAGUCUCUCCAAAUGUUUUGAGCUCUUGUACUGCUUUCGCAGUAGACCACUUGGGACUUCAUCGUAUCGUUUCUGUCUUGCUUAGGAAUGAAAAUUCCUAACACUGUAUGGAGAAACCAUGGCAUGUCUAGAACUGCAUUGUUGACAAUCAAUAAAAACUUUCGGUAUACACUCACAAACUUAGAUCAUCCCAAUCCCACACGAGACGUUUCUUCGCGAAGAUCCCACGAGAAGAACGUGCUUAUCGCACAUUGUUCUAUGUCAGAAAAAAAUCAAUGCGUGAUUGACAGAAAACUGUGCGCCGACCGUCAGGAGAAGCGGCACUCUCCCCGAGGAGGAUUCCAGCUCCAGGGAGCGACAGGAAAUGGAGAUUGUGAAGCCCUCGCUUCCCUACGCCUCCUCCAGCGCUCCAAACCCACGUCAAGCCGGUUAGAUUCUGGAUGCCGCAUUUCCUUUUGUUCGUUUGAUCGUGUGAUUGUUUGAUUUUUAUUUCCUCUGUGUGACAGAGUUGUGCGCGGCCGGAGCUUUCAAAGGCGUCACGGCUUCGUAUUAUCGUCUUUCCAUUCAUCCUCUCGUACACAAUGCUCCAUCUGGUCUCACUGAUCAUGUGAACCAAGCACUCUUAACCACGGCUUGUCUUGUGGAUCAUAGCGUAUAGACUGUGGUGAUGGAUGAUCCUUGCGUUUUCCGCCUAGGUCCUGGGACUUGGAUGGCUAGCUAUCUCUUUGUUGCGGCCAGCAUCCUCGCGAAGCUCUUGACUCAAUCGCCAUCAGAAGUUUCCAAGAGGUAAACAUGGCUUUGCAUGAAAGUUUUCACUUGCAUGUUUUCUAGCGGGAUUUGUUUUGUCACGACCAUAGAACACAUCUUUCGCUGCCGAGGCAACCUGGUCUUUGCUCGUUCCUGCGCCUUUUACGAGUAUUGGUAACAUUUACUUCCUCGACUUGGUUGAUUGAUGAGGAUUCUUCUUCUUCGUUACCUUCUUCUAAGGAGGGAACAUCCUUCAAGCAGUAAGACGCUUUGGGGAACAUUUGUCACUUGGGACGACCACCACCGGUGACAAGCAUUUCUCGAGUGAGUCACGUCAUUCUUUUCUCUCGUUCGUAAGAAUGGCAUCUCAACAGUGAUAUCUUAUGGCAAAGGAAGAAUCCAGAAGAAGCAAAAGCUUUUAACGAGCUCGCAGGGAUUUGAUAGGACUGCAAAUCCAAGCCGACUAAACAACCUCAUGCAGGACAAGCAUGGAUGCGUUGUAGCGGGUUCCUUAGUCAGCUGGGAACUGCUUUUCCCAUUCGUCUGACGAUUUCAUGCGAAAGAGCUUGUUUUUUGUUGUGAAAGUUUCAUAUAGACAAACGCGAUCAAGCUCUUGUAAGACAGGACCAAGUUUACAUCAGGACGUGAGCUACUUUUGCAGGACACCUAUUCCCUUUCUUGAAAUAAAAAGAAAUUACAGAAGAUUGCUAAUAAAUUACGAGAAAAGGGGCACUAAGACGAACUCUGCGACGCCAGUAUACUGCUCUCUUUGCACCGUGAAAAUCCCGUGCUUAGGGUGGAACACAAUCCAUCUAGUGGGAGUAAAUCCCAGGAGCACCACACACUGCCCAAUCCAGUACAUGUUGUACGUGCUACAAUACCACGCCUUGCCACCGCCGUCAUCCACAAAGGCAUCAUCUUUUUCAAGUUGCUCGCAUCUCAAGCUCGUUACCACUGGGUGUCGAUUCAAGAGCUCCAACACCACCUCCUCGCUGGGUCGAGUAAUCAAGCCCACUUUCCUCAAACUAUUACCUAGAACAUAAACUUGGAAUAAAUUCUUGUCCUGCUGCUUAUGCCUGAAGAGCUCCAGUGCCUUAUGGAUCAAGGACAAGGCUGGCUGUUGGCGCUCCUGGAGAGAAAACUGGUGUGCCGUGGUGCCAAGCUUGGCCAUGGCCUGGGAGCAAAGGUUUAACGCUCGCUCCCAGCAGCCAGAGCACCGUUUCGCUUCUUUGUUUACUGUGGCUAUCGGCAUACCUUGCUCAUCGAAGUCAAACAGAGGCUGGAGAUCACCGCCUCGAGGCGGAUUAGUGCUUUUCAACUCGCUACCUGGAAAAAGACCGCUCCAGUCGACCGUCGCUUCCUUGGGAGAUUUUCCUGGUAUAAAAGGCUCAACCUGGUAUACCCUCUGAGCCCUAGACGCCAGAUCUCUGAGGCAACACCAGCGCGAAG